rnacentral:lncRNA from 1 species
GUCUCAGUUCCCCUGGAAGAGGGACAUGUUUGUCGUUCGUCGUCGUCGACAUGCAAGUCCAUUGAUGCGGUUGAGCAGAGCUGCAAGAACCUAGGCUUCAAUAUCCAACUGAGAGUGAGAAAUGUGGGGACGAUGAGUGGAAGCCAUACGGUGUUAUUGUUUUCCUCUCCCCCCUCAGUGCACAAUGCAGCUCAAAAGCAUUUGUUGGGCUUCCAAAAGCUCCAUUUGACUCCACAAACAGAAGGCCUGGUGAAAUUCAAUGUGGACGUUUGCAAGCAUUUGAGCAUGGUUGAUGAGCUAGGGAACAGGAAGGUGGCUGUGGGAGAGCAUGUGCUGCAUGUAGGAGAUUUGAAGCAUCCCUUGACUGUGAGGAUAUAAACGAAAUUCCACACGGUGAUUAUUUUCUUUUUCCUUUUUUCUUUAAAGAAAGAAAGAGGAAAUUGCUACAAUAUUGAAAUCAAAGCCUUGAAUAAUUUGAGACAAGUGUAAGAAAUGUGUAUUUUUUCUUUCACUUUCGAAAGAUGGAAAUUCUUGGUUGCAUUUGAAUUGAUAAAUUUGGUUGGAUUUGGAUAUUAUUAAAUCCUUGACUCAUGCUACUCAUGUCCCUCAAAUUGGUUGGAUAACUAAGAAAGAGUUUUCCCUCCAGAACAUCAGCCCAAUCUAUUUAACGCAUUUUCUUGGUAUCAGACUAUCAGUAUUGCAGUCCAUUUGAUCUCAUAUAUGUGGCUUCGAUGUUAUCCCAAUUGAUUAUUGAUUGAGCAGCAUAGGCCCAAUUGCUUCCAAAGAUCUUCUUUCUUUUGUUCAUCUGCGUUUCAGUUUAUAAGAUCUGCGUUUCCUCUGAUGGAUCCAAUCGCGCAAAGUCCACCAAGCACAAAUUUUCAUCAGCUUAUAGUUUUCAUCCACCAGAUCCCAAUAGAUUUCUUUUCAUCCUGAUAUGCUAAUUGAAAAAAGUUAAAAAAAUAAAAUAAAAUUGGGUACUCAGUAAAACUAAUAGCAACACAGGAAAACAAUUUUGACUUUCCUUUUUAUGGUUGCAUCAAUUUGAAAACUAACAUUACUAGGCCUCCAAAUGCCUAUGGAGUAAGCUGAUGACAUCAGAGGUCACUUUCUUUCAAGGUAUCCCAAUGCAUAAUUAACUUCUAAUUUGCUGUUAAUCAUAUCCGUCCUAUGGUUGUACCUGAUUUCCAUCACUAUUAAUUGUUAUUUAACAGCCUAUUCUAUCCGGGUUAUGUAUACAAGUAUUAAGGGUUCACAUAUAUUCAUCCUCGUAACUUUGUCACUAGCACAGUCUAAGUUACCAUAUAUGGAUAAAAAUAUAAUUUAAAUUUAUUUUUAAAAAUUUUUAAAAGAGAGAGAUCAUGAACAAAUAAGAUUAAAGGACAGUUAGUUACCAAAAUAGGCAAAAUCCAAGUGUCCAUUAAUUCAUUUCAAUUAGUUGUGAACCUAAAAAAGAGAAAAUAGUUGAUUAAAUUAAUUCCUUUCAAACAUAUAUAUACAUGCAUGCAUACAUACAUAUGCAUAAUUAUUUCUGUAUAUAGAAUCUUUUAAGGUUCGCUACAAUCUUGGAAUGCAACUCUUUGUUAGUGCAUUUUGUGCAUAGGGCUGUUCACGAAUCGAGCCGGAUCGCGAGUGGCUCGAUUACGAGCUCGAUCAAUAUCAAACUCGAGUCGAGUUCGAGCUAAUCGAGUCGAGUUCGAACUCGAACUCAAGUUCAAAAACAUUAAACUCCCGCUCGCGAGCCAAAUUAUAUAUAUAUAUAUAUUAUUUUUUAUUUUAAUAGUAAAAUUACAUAUAUAUUUUUAAUAUUUUAUUAUUUGUUAAAAAUUAUUUUAUUUUUAAAAAAUAAUAAUUAUUAUUUUAUUUUUUAAGCUCGAGCUUGACAUUUUAAACUCGUCGAGUUCGAGUUUCAUGAAAUUAACUGGAGGCUCGAUUCGAUAAGGUCAAAACUCGAUUCGAUUCGGAUUGUUUGCACUCCCGUGCAUGUAUAAUCUUUUGAACUGAAAAAGAAAAAUAGCCAUAUUUUAUUAAAUUCAUAGUGCGAAAUCUGAUAUGCUAGUAGAUCAAUCGUUGCAGAUAAGGCUUUUGACGACGUGGUCAAGGUUGACAACCUAUGAUUUAGUGCUCCUGGUUCAAGUUUUAUUAAUAAGUAUAAUUUUCUCUCAACUAGUAAGUGAGUAUUCAUUUGACCACUAGCUAAUAGGUUAGUCCAUAUACUACUGAGCUGUGCAUAUGCUUUUGCUAUUGCAGAUUUCUUGUAAAUAUUAGUUUAAAAAUGAAAAAAAAAAAAAGGUAAAAGAGAUCAACCAUUAAUUCGUUUCUCCAGCCUCACGCUCCCUAUUUUGUCUUUUUCAUCACGCGGCCUGCUAUUAUGUCUUCAUCUUCGAAGUGAUGAAGAAGAAAGCACUGAAAGCAAGCAGUGAAAUCGCCUCAAAAUAAAUCUUUGUCGUAUCCGAUGUGAAGGAUAAGAUUUACUAUUAAGUAAUUAGCCUAAAACGACUCUGGUCAUGUGUGGUUGUAGUUAAAUUCACCGGAAUAGCCAAUCCGGGGGUUUGGUUGGAUGAGUCUUGCAUGCGUUUCUGGUAUCACAAUCUGCGAAGUUAUUCCAUUGGAUCACACAGUUUCCCUUGCGAUGGCUACAUUUAGUAAGAAGAAUUCUUCAGUAAGAGCACAUGAUUACAUUUGUUGUCCCACCUGAUCUUAGAUUGUUUAUUGAUUUAAUUUUAUUUUUUAGGGGGAAAAAAAAAACUUACACCUUCACCUCUCUCUUGACCGUCGUGUCGUAGUCAUAUCUCAUAAGUCAUGUACAUUUUUAGACAAUUCUAGAGUUUUGUUGAAUUUAAAGGUUUAAACUAUAAGCUUAGCCCUUAUUUGGAAUGCAAUUUUUCUUUAAAAAUAUUUUUUUAUUUAUACUUUAUGUAAACACGCUUCUCAAUAAUUUUUUUUUACUUCACGUACGUCAAAUUAUUGUAAUAUAAUUUUCUAUAAAAAUUUCAGAAAAUAGCAACCCAUUCCCCCUCAAACCCAUUGACAAAGGAGAUAGGCAGCCAUAACUGCUUGCUCGGAGAUAAAGCUAGUCAACUGGGGACUGUUGCAUUGUCCACGGGUGGUUUAAAAAGAUGGGCUGUUGUAAUCUUGGGUCUGGGGUAGUUCGAAUCCUACCAUAUCUGGAGGCUGGACAACGUGCCAAAUAGGUAAAAUAAGGCUAUGCUUCGCUUUGCUUUCGCUUUCGUCGAUGGGAAGGCUACAGUUUGCACUUUCUUUUUCUCUGAUUCGCACACAGGAUUAAAUAAAUUAAAUGCAAAAUGCCACUCUUUAACUACCAUCAUUAUGUGAUUUCAUCCUCAAACUACUAAUUACUACUACUAAAAUGUGUCACUAUACUACUACUCUCACAUUGUUUAGAAUAUUACGCUAAUUCGUCUCCAACUUUUCCAAUUGAAAAAGACCGCAUUAGCAAGUCAUAGUAGUAAUAAAUUGUUUGCCCGGGGCUACCACCGAAGCGUUUUUUUCUUUGCUCCCCCAAGUCUCAUGAGUGGUUGUCAUUGCCGCAUCUGCAAUGACUUAUUGACAAAAUAAUCAAAUUUCUCAUAAAACUGGAACUAAGUACAUCGCAAGAGUUUAUUGAUGCAAUGAUGAUGUUACGGUACGUAAAAGAAGAGAUUAGAAAAUUUCAAGGGUUUUAGUUAUAAGUAAAUUUUAUAUAUACUGAUAGUGUAUAUAUUGUCUUGAUUAGAUGAAUGUCACGUAAGUAAUUGUCAUAUCUUUUUUCCUUCCUAUUGGGUUGGAUCAAAUUAAUGUUGUUGGGUAAAUUGCUGCAAUUCAUAUAUAGUUUGGGAGGGGAAGGGGGGCAUAUCCCAAAUAGGAUGAAAAUUGAAGGGUGCAUCUGCAAUUGACACAUGAGUUUAUGUGCUUAGAAGGAAAAAACAAACAACCCUUGCUUUCCUGUACUAUUGCAUGCCAGUGUUUGCUUUUCUCUUUCACACAGCACACCCGGUGAACAACGCACUCUCGAAAGACAACACAGACUAGAUCAGAUGAGCGUAGGGAUAGGAGCAGUAGUAGAGGCAGAGUAAAUUAUUAUCGACUGUAAAAAAAAAACUAAAAUUUUUGACAAGGAAAAGUUUGGGUUAGUUAAAAUUGAAGCCACCUCUCCAUCAUCUCUGAGUUACUCCUAUUGAUUAUUUGGAUUGUCCAUUUUUCUCAAACAAAAAAUUUCUAUAUUUUUUUAUAAAUAUAAUUUUUAUUUAUCUUUUUAUCUUAUCACAUCAAAUAUUCUUUUUAAUAAAAACUUUAAAGAAUUACGUGUCGUUUCAUCUCAUCUCAAGAAGUAUAUCAAAUCAUUACAAUUCAAACAGGCUCGCUGGGGGGGGGGGGGCGGAUGGGGUGGGGUUACGUUGUCGAUUCCUAGGGUCUCAAUUAGUCGUGGAAUCUUCCGAUUAGAGGAUGACAUAUGCACAAUGUGCGGCCUAGAUUCCAACGUAAUUUGAGUAAUAAUUGUUUUCAGAUGCAGCGAAUAGGGAGUGGAGCAGCCUCGUGUGAAGAGCGUGCGAGGAGGACAAUUAAUAUUAAGGACACCAGAGGCGGACCCCACCCAACUUCUUUUCCAUGCCUUGUUGGCUACUUGCUACUUGAUUGGAGAGCCGAGCCUGAAGCCCCACCAAAAUUUGUCAUAUGUUACGGUCUUCGGUGACUUCGACGGAGUUUCUACUUUCAUCGAAUUCUUUCCUUUUUCCUUUAAUUAGACUAGAUUAAAUUAUAGAAAUUCUAUCAUUGCGAUAAAAAAAAAAGGAGCCUGAAGCCUCUUUAUCAAUUAAGCUUCGGCUGCAUUUCUUGUUUGUUUGUUGGUUUUCUAUUCACGACUCAAAAAAGUCAAUGGUAUCCCUGGUUUCCAUCAAUGCAUAGUAUUACACUAGUUAUUGAAAAUCAAUUCAUUCAGGAAGAUUUUUUUUUUCUUUUUUUGCAACUUGUGAGUCCGAUAGCAAAUGGCAAAAGGUCACAACCCUUCGAUUAGCCUUUUAGCUAGGUUUCAUUUUAGAGAAGGAAAGAUGAGAAGAACAGAGCAUAAUCAUUAAUUAUCGAAUGUACGCGUGAUAGACAUUUAAAAAAAAAAUUAAUUAUAUAUUCACAAAAACGUCACUCGACACCCCUUAAAAAGUUCCCAUCAUUUGUCAUGACAUUAUGAAUACAUGAUGAAAUAAUCUAGUUAUGUACAUUCUUUACUUUUAAAUGUAUAAAUCUAACAUAAGUCCUAAUUGUUGUAUUUGAGUUCACGACAUUUUACUAUCUAAAAGAUGUGUACGUGUCGUUACCCUCUAACCAAUACUAAUGACUAAACUCAACCCUUCAAUCCUUGAAAGCAGUGGCUGGAGACUAAUUAGCGAAGCCUAGCUCUCCCUAUGUCACAAAUUUUGCUACCCUGAAAGAAAAUGCUGGUAAGAAAUUGUGAAUCGAGACCCCAAGAUCAGAACAGAAGCACCUGCAUACGAGAGCAGCUGUGGAAUCAAAGCAAGCCAAUUCCCACUGGGAGCCAAGCCAACUAGCCAAGAAGCCAGCAGUAGCAGUGCCAAGUGUUUCGUUCAGUAGGCUAGGCCAGCUCAGCAUAUGUGAUGCUACCAGAUUUUUUUAAGCCGCCAAACUGCCUCUUCCCUUCUUUUCUUCUCUUUUCCUUCCUUUUCUUUUCUUUUCUUCGGUUAGGUGAUAAGGGCGCGCCACGACAACUCCACCUCGGCCACUUAUUUUCGUACCCCAGGUAAUGUCACCCGAAAGCGACAUUAGCCAUUCAAAAGACAAUAUUGCCCUAACACUCCCUCUCUCCUCAAAAGAAAAAUAAACAAAUAACCUGGGCUAAUACAGUCAACUCACAUGGCACGUCCCUUUCACUAAAAAGUAUGCGACGUACCCGUGCAAAAAUAACAGUUGUUGGACAGCUGACGCAAAGGGCAAUUCUGUAAAUCCAUAUAAACAGACCAAAAUAGCUGCCCCAUUAAUCGAUUUUAGGAGUGGCAAUAAACAAAUUUAAGCUCUAUUAAUCAAACCAAAAUUGUUAACUAGUGCUAUUAACUUUUUUUCUCUCAUCUCUCUCUCUCUCUGUCCUCUGCUUUUUACGUAGUUCAACUUGCUGCCCCCUCCCUCUCUCUCUCUAUAUUCAUUUCUGCUGUUCUCUCUCUCUAUUUUUUGUCUUCCUCUUUCUUUUCCCUCCGUCAAGAUUGGUGGGCUAGGUCGGGUUCUCAUCAAUGGCGUCACGGAUUUGGCAACUUUAUGCUCUUUUUUGUUAAAGGGUAUUCGCUAUUAACGGUUUCUUUCUUGUUUAAUUCUUGUCUGAAAUAGAAGUGUCUGAUUUAUUACUCUGGACACUUGAGACUGGCUGCUGUUUCCGGAAUCCUGAGUCAUAUGCAGUGCAUUUAUAUAUGCUUCCCGUUUUAUGUUUUCAUUUAUUUGGCUAUUUGAUGCUAUUUUCUUUCUUUUCUCAAUUGUAGCCUGAUACUAGACGUUAGCUAAAAGGUCAGUGUUUGUAUUGACUUGGUACUACUAAAUUUCCUAAUUUGAAGCUGAAUGGCUGUCUGGGCUUUCAGUAGCUGAGUGUUUAAGAUAAUUUAUCCAGUGUUUUGAUUUUGAUUUUGAUUUCAUUUAAGUGAUUAUAUUUUGGGUUUUAGCAAAGAGCAGAUACCGAAUAAGUAUUGCUUGUCUCCUACAAUCCUAGACGAGUGGUUAUAAUCUUGGCAUAGUAUUGAAAAACUGCACUUUUUUUUUGACAAUUAGUUCGAUAGUUUGAUUGCUGAAAGAUCCUUCGUAACCUUCUUGGUGUCCCGACUAUCCUUUUUACGGUAUCAUGUACUGAUUUGGAUUUGAUAGUCGUGGUAUAGUAUCCUCUUUACUUAUGAAUUUGUGUGUUCGCUGUUUUUUAUGAUGUGUGUGUGGCUUUGACAAACUAGGGAAUUUGACUCUGUAUAUUUAGUUUUUAUAUUUACUACUUCAUUUGUUGAGUACAUAUAAGUUAGUUAAACAAUAACAGACUGAUUUUACCUUCAAAUGAAGAUUGACAUGUGGCUUGAAGAGGCAAGAAUAUGUAGGGCUUCAUAAAUUUGUUAGGCAAUUGAAUUUUUUUAAUGCAGUGCUCCCCAAUAAUACGACAUAAUUGAUUUGAAAAAAGUUUGCAAAAUUUUGAAUCAAGUAUGGGAGUAGCUAUGUUUCUAGCUAUAGAAAUUGUAGAUUUUGUUCUUAGUUUUGGAAGUUGAUUAACUGCAGAUUUAUAACCAAUUGGUUAAUUCAAUGAAAAGAGAAGAAAGAAGGGACUUUAUAGACAGUUGUUUUCACAUGGACUUUGAAAGGGUUUGUAAAAUUCAAUCCUGAUAAGAAAACUGACAUUGUUAUCUUCUAUUGGGCUUUUUGGUAAUGAGAAUAGCAUCAGGGAGGGGACCCUAGUCACUACAGAUCCAAAUAUUGGCUGUAUGGAGCAGUCCCUUAUCAAGUAGGAUGACCUCUUUGUCUCAUUAAUUGUUAUUAUGCUAUCCUGUUGGGGAAUUUCCCAUCUCGCCUGACUUGAAAGCUAUAAUUGAAGUAUGUCCCGACUUAAACGAAGGAUUACAACUUAUGGUUUAUCUAUUAGAGGGUUUGUUAAGUAGACCUGACGCUGGCUGUUGGUUUGUUGUUAUCUCAUUAAUUGUUAUGAAUUUGCAAAUACACAUUCAAAAUGUCUGCUGAGUCUUUAAACAUCAAGCCUCCAGCCAAGUGCUUCUUUGGCUUUCGUUUUUGGAUAAUUUACUUGUAUGGAUGUCCUCAAUAACUACUGCUUUGGUAUGGUUUGGUGUUGCUUUCCUUGUCUCUUCCUCCUCCAUAUGUCCUUUACUUUUAUUGUUGUGGACCAUUGGCUUAAGUGAUCCGAGCUGUACGCUAUAUUCUGUGUAGUCAUGAACAUUUGUUAGUGAAGUGGUACUCCCAUUGUAUGUUUAAGUAGCGAAGAAUUGUUACAUUGUAUUUCCACUCUUUUCAGGUGAUCAAAGCUUGAGGACUUCCUAGCAAGCAGUCCAAAUGACAUCCCUUUCCGUAUCACUCCUGUCGUCAUGGUGUCAAGGAUACAAAAGCCAUAACAAGUUAAGGAGGUUAAAGAAGUAUAUCUGGUAGUUGGAGUUGAGACUUUCUGUAUAAUGGAUAGGUCCGAUACGUCAGGUUUUGUGAGUGGUGGAUGUAGCUUAUUAGGGUUUCUUUUAUUUGCUUUUGACUUGUUGAUAUACAGAGAUUUCUGUUAGUAUUUUUUAAUAUCCUCGUGCUAGUUGGUCAUCUUGAUUGUUGAUAGCAUAAAAGCAGCAGUAAUGGAUUCCCAAAAGCCUGCAUUGUUGUUCUCUUCACCUGUUGAGCUCAAGCAAAGUAAUUUCAACGACACUGCCUUGCGAUUGGAUUGUUUUGGUUAUGGAGGAAGUAAAAACACUGGAUUUGGGAGAAAUCACAACAAUGCUGGUAGCUGGGUUAAUCAUACAAAUGCACCAGAUGAUGGAUGCAGGUUGGUGCUUGGACUGGGGCCAACACCCAGUGCAUACUCGGAUAACUAUGAGGUUGGGGGUAACAAAAAGAAAGGAAUUACAGCUAUGGUGAGACAAGGGCUAUCAUCUGAUGGGGACUCAAUUCUCAAACUAGGCCUAUCAGGGGGCAUUGAUGAACCUUCCAAUUUGCUUGACCACUCAGUUUCAACACAGAGUACUUUGAACACACCUCAUCAUUCUGUUGGGAAUAGAAUCUUAAUUCCUGUUGUUGAUGAAGGUUCGACAUCAGCUAAGAGAUCAGGUGGCUAUCUGACUACAUUUUUCAUUGAACCAAGAAUUGAGAACAACAAAACUUUGGCGGAAGAACUGUUAGAAGCUGAUGCAAAAUCACAUUGUCAUAAUUCUCAGCUAAGCUCUGAACCUUCUGUUAUCUCUGAUUAUUCAAGGAGCACCGUCUCUGGGUCUAUAACAUCUGUAGAUCAUAAGACCAGCAAUCCCAGAAGAUGCAAAUUUGAUGGGUGUACGAAAGGAGCUCGAGGAGCAACUGGUCUUUGUAUUGGCCAUGGAGGUGGGCAGAGGUGCCAAAAGCCAGGAUGUAACAAAGGUGCUGAAAGCCGGACAGCCUACUGUAAGGCCCAUGGCGGAGGGAGGAGGUGCCAGCAACUGGGAUGCACUAAAAGUGCUGAGGGAAAGACCGACUUCUGCAUAGCCCAUGGAGGUGGGAGACGCUGUGGCUAUCCAGGAGGGUGUACCAAAGCAGCACGAGGAAAGUCAGGACUUUGCAUCAGGCAUGGUGGAGGAAAGAGAUGCAAGGUUGAAGGUUGCAAGCGUAGCGCUGAAGGGCAGAUUGGUUUGUGUAUCUCUCAUGGUGGUGGGCGCCGCUGCCAAUUCCAAGAUUGCAAUAAAGGAGCCCAAGGUAGCACUUCACUCUGCAAAGCGCAUGGGGGUGGAAAGCGAUGCAUAUUUGCUGGGUGUACCAAAGGAGCUGAGGGCAGCACACCUCUGUGCAAAGGACAUGGCGGUGGUAAACGCUGCCUCUUUGAUGGGGGAGGGAUAUGCCCAAAAAGUGUUCAUGGAGGCACAAACUUUUGUGUCGCACAUGGUGGUGGAAAGAGGUGUUCUGUUCCGGGCUGUACCAAGAGUGCACGUGGCCGCACUGAUUGCUGUGUUCGCCACGGAGGAGGGAAGCGUUGCAAGUUCGAAAACUGUGGAAAGAGUGCUCAAGGUAGCACUGACUUCUGCAAGGCCCACGGUGGUGGAAAGAGGUGCAACUGGGGAGGGGGAAAAUGUGAGAAGUUUGCUAGGGGAAAGAGUGGGCUAUGUGCGGCACACAGUAGUUUGGUUCAGGGACAGGAGGCAAGCAAAGGUAGUAUGAUUGGACCAGGUCUCUUCCAUGGACUUGUCUCUGCUACAUCUGGAAUGAGAAGUACCGUUGACAAGACAUACUCUUCAUGCGGAGGGAGCAUGAUAUCAGAAUCUGCUGACUCUCUGGAGAUGCCAGCAAAAAGGCAACAUCUCAUACCUCCAGAGGUGUUGGUUCCUUUGUCGAUGAAGGCCUCAUCAUCUUACUCGACACCAUUGAGUACCGAAAAGGAGGAAGAAAGGAAUAAUGGAGUUGGAAUUGGCGGCGGCGGCAGCAGCAGCAGCAGCAAGAACCACCUUGGAAACGGCCUUGGUUUCGUUGUUCCAGAGGGGAGGGUCCAUGGUGGUGGUCUGAUGUCGUUACUUGGGGGUAACUUGAGGAAUGGAAUCAACGAGCGUUGACGUUCUUCUGGCAGACUUUUCAGUUGCUAGUAGUAUUAUUCUUGUGUUGAUAAUCAGAUCAUCCUCUAAUGGUGGGAACUGUGUAUGUAAAGAGCCCGAUAUCGUGGGUUGUAUUCAAGUAAAAAUUAUUAUGACUGUUCAAUAAGACCAUCAUUUGUUUACGUACCCGAAUGAAUCCUGUUGUUCCGCGUUUUUGUCCUCAAAGCUUUUACCAGGACGGCAGCAUAAUCUUUACUUAUAAAUGCUUCCGCGGAUGCUAUCAAUUCAGGGUUGUUUCAUUAUCAUUCCUACUUUAAUUUUACUAGUAGACUUUUUGGCACAAUUAUCAAAUAUACUACGGAGAAUUUGAUAAUUCAUAAAUUCCUAAUUGCUCCAGGUGGAGAAAUGGAGAGUCUUGAACGUCAAUUCUUUUUUUUUUUUUUAUAAAAAUAAUUUUGUGUCAAUUUUUUUUUGGUAAUAUAUGAUCUGAACUAUAUAAUAAGGGAGAAGUAAAGGUUUGGGGUAAACAAUUUUUGUCUAUUUAUAUAUUUUCAACUUUACCCUUAUCAAAUCACUUAUUACUUUACCACCUAAACAUGAGUUACUCAAGUAAUUAUCCGUAUUUAUUUUUUACCAUAACUAUCUGAACACAUCUUGACAAAAUAAUUGCCUUUAAACAUUAUAACUAUCAAAAUAACCAUCACUUGAUGGAGCAAAAAAAGAUUAAAAUACCACAAUUUGCUUUAAUAAUAAAAAUCUUAUGCAAAAUUAAUUUGCAAAAAAGUAUUUUUGAAUUGCACACACAUUGCUUGUGCCUCUAGCACUGGGUGCUUCUAGUGCCCUUUGUUCUUCCUUUUGUGUCUUUUAGGCUAUUUCUGGUGUACCUUUUUUUUUUUUUUUUUUUUAAUUUAAAAAGUUGGGUGAUUUGUCACGGCGAUCUUUUUUCUCCUUUUUUAAGUUCAUACAACAGGUAACUCGAAACUCGGGAGAGUUAAGAGGCUAUGGUACAAUUUGCUGCUAAACUAUGAAUAUAACUACAGCAUUGCAGACCUAGAAAAUUUUGGGCCAAUUAUUAAUAUGUUAGGGUGGUUUUCUUGAUUAAAUAAAUUAAUGUAUAGGUAAAUGUUACAUCAAAGAAUUUAUCCCUUUAUUAUGUAUCUCAAGUUUGGGGAUAAAUAGUAUGCGUAGUCUAAUCUUUACUUGGUUAAACUUCCUCAAGGAUAAUAAUAUGAGAAAUUUCGUGUAAUUUAAUUAGACACAAAUUGAAAUUGGGGUAGUCUAAUCCUGAUGUAAUUCUAAGUCAAGUACGUAAUUCCAUCUUUAUCAUAUAUUAAAAAGAAGAGAUAAUUGCGGAUUUUUAUUUUUUAUUUUUUGGGUUAAUUUUUGUAGUACUUGUACUCAAUAUCGUUAAGUGUGUUUGGAUAGAGUAUUAUUUGAAAUAAUUACUGUAACACUUUUUGUGAUAUAAUGUAUGUGAGAUAAAAAGUAAUUGAAAAUAUAAAAAGAUGAAUUGAAAAAUUUGUUUAUAAUGCAAGCGAAAUAUUAUUUGAGAUAAUUUAGUAAUCCAAACACACUACACUUAUUUUUUACUUGUUUCAAAUUCUUAUUACCCCGCGCUUCCGACCUAUAUAUGCAGAUACGUACGUGAAAAGUGAAAAGUGAAAAGUGAAAACCGAAGCUUAUUCGGGGAGGGGAAAACAAAAAAUUAUCGAGCAUAUGAUCGUCUCUUCUUUAUCAACGAGGUGUUUGGUUCAAAUUUGCGCAUUGCGAAUUCCUGUUAGAUCUUCCUGAAUUUGAGCACGAUUUUUGAACCUCUCGCUUUUUGUCUUUCACAGAUAGCAAGGUUUGAAAUAUUAGCGGGAGCGAGCGCAAUGUAAAAUUUAAUUAGAAAGUAGUAUAUAUUGAAAAAAAAAAGCAUCGAAUGUCAUCGAAAAUUUGCUACUGUCCAUCAAGUUACUGCUAGUCAAGUUACUGCUGAGUUUAUGCAUUUCUUACUGAAAUUUUGUCAAAGGCGUUCGAAUUUGGUUCCGAAUUCACAAAUUUUAUGAAUUCGAUUUUUUUUUUCUGAUGAUUUUGGCAGAUACUCUUCAUGGAGAAUCUUUACGGCGGCGCCGGCAAUAGCAGCAGUACCAGAACUCCGAAACUCAAUUCCAUAAACGGCAACGUUUCUCCACUAAAUCUCAAUACGCCGAACUUCAACGGCCGCGGUAGUUAUCAGCAUCACCAUCUCCGUCAAUCGAAGAGUCCAGUCUUCGAUCCGUACGCAUCUUCGGAUAGUGGCUCAGCUUCUCCCAAUCUGGAUUCUCCGCUGAUUCGCUACCUUCGCUCGAGCUCCAGCAGUAGCGGCGGAAAAUUAUUAUCACCGCUGGCUUCGAUUGAGAACUUCGAUACUCCGGCGUCGAGAUCAUCGCCAGUAUUCAAGACGCCGUUGAAUAUCGAGGAGGACGUGCUUGUAAUGGACGGCAUUCUCGUCGACUCUAGCAACAUAAAGACUCCUAAAGGCGGUGGCGUCGCGAGGAUGAGGUCACCGCUUGCACCAUUGGAUUCCGAUGGGAGGCAACCGUCAUCAUUGUCCUCAUCGCUAUCGUCGGGAGGGAGCGAGAACAGCUUUUACAAGACUGAGAAGUGUCGAUCGUCCGAGGACUCCAAUGCUGGCCGCUUUGGCACUAAAUGCCAGGUACUAGCUUCUUUCCCGUAGCAUGAUCGUUAUGGUCGGAUCGGACGAUUGUUCUUGAUCUUGCAAAAAUAUUUCUACAGUUGAGAUUAGUUUAGCAUAUUGACCCUGUCGAAGUCAAAUACACUGGAUUCUCAUGUUGUACUCUGAUUUUUUUUCUUCUUUGUGUUAGAUAGGACUUUUUAGUUAAAAUAUCCCCUUCGCAACUCAGAAGUAGAAAAAUAUCUUGAAAGGCAUAAAAGUUUGAAUUAAGCAAGUUUAAAACGUGAAACUUGAUAUGCAAGUUCUGAUUUUCUCAGUUGUUUAUGGACUAAAACAGUAGAAAUGGGAAGAAAAAAAAAGAACAGUAGAAAUAAAGUAAUAUUAGGCAGGUGAAUUUUUAUUAGAGCUUCGGAAAAAAAAAAAAAAGAAAUGGUAAAUUUUGUGCAUGUAUUUUUCCUUUCUGAUUUAGCCUGUCAGCAGCACAUUGGUGUAGUGGCAUCUCCAUUCAACUUAUGGCUAAAUAGGGUUGAUGGGCAAUUAAGAACGGUUGAUGCUGACAUUUCAACAUUGAAGUUCCUCUUGUGAACAAAUCGUAUUUUUAAUUAGCUCCUCUUAAAGUUUGUCUACAUAGUAGCUUAGUCCUCACGCUGGAGUCCAUGAUUCAUGGCAAAAUAUCAAUGGAACAAGUCUUAUGUCACUCGUGCCAUUUUCUUGUGGUUUUAUUGUGCAAUAUACUAAAUUAGUAUGGAUAUUUUUAUAUAUAAGAUUAUCAUGGAAGAUGCAUUAAAACAACAUAGAUUGCUCGCCUUUGCUAUUGAUCGAUUCUUACUCUUUUGUCCUCUAUAAUUUUACCAAAGAUGAAAUGAACUGGAAGUUUCCUAAAGGCAAAUGUGUCUCGGUCUUAGCAGGAUAACCCAGACAAGCCCCAAUAGUUUUAAGAGUCGUACAAUUGGCUAGACUUGCCUAUCUUUUCCGUGUUGCAGUACAUGGGCCAUUUGAUGGGCCACCUUGUUAAGUAUCUCUUUCAUCUUUGAAAAUUGAAACCAUCGAAACGACUUGACAUCUUAUUCCAAAAGUUGGCAUAAGACCUUUACUUUUAAUGGAUCAGUACACCUUCUAGCUUUCGUCAGCUGUAAAAGUUGAUGACCCAAUUAUAUGUUCCUUUACUAAAUCGUGUAGCUUCUGCCAAUCCAUAAUUACAGUUUGCACACGGAAAAGAAGAGCUGCGUUCAAGUCGUAUCAGCAAGAACAAAUUGGAGGUAUACAUUGGCUGUUAAGGAUCUACUACUUAUCUUCUUUGUUAGACCCGACGUGGACUAUUAAAAUUGGAAUAAGCGUUCAUCUGUUAUUUUUCCUGUCUGAUUCUGCACAGGCACAAUUCUGCAAGACUUACAGUUCAGGGUCAUGCGCAUAUGGCACAAAGUGCCGUUUUGUACAUGAUCAGAUCAAGGCAGCUGUACCAUCAAUGGAACCAUCUCCUACAUCAAAAGUUUUGCCUACACCAAGAAGAGCAAUUUCACCAAUUACACUCCAAAACAAGGCUGACUUUGGCGAGAAGAAUGCCUUCACUGCCUUCUCAACCGAUGAUUGGUCUGCCCUGGAUGACGGCAUUGGGGUUACCUUACCUUCUGGUUCGAGUGAGAAAACUCCCUCAAAGGAAGAUGUCAACGCCCACAUACAGGCAGCUCUCUAUGGCCCUUCCCCAAGGAAGAGAUUACCAGUGUUCACUGAGUUUUGCCCCGACUAGAUGUGUCUUUUUUUUGAAGCUUUCUCCCGGUGACAUGACUCCAGAUUUACCCUUUGACUACAAAAACGCAUAUUAUCCUGUUGCUGACUCGUAACUGUACAGAAAGGCAAGUUGCAUUUACUGUCAUUGAUGUUGAAGAAUCUUAUACCUAUUAGAUAGAAACGGAAUUGAAUUGACAGAGUGAAUAAAAAAUAUCAACAGCGAAGUAACCGUUCGCAUCCUGGCUUGUAAUCGGUAUUCUGGAAUAAACCUGAAAUCUCUUGUACUCCUGUCUUGUGUGCUUAUUUCUGAAUGUGCUCUGCCAGUAGUUUGACUUUCGGGGUAAUUCCCCUGUGCAAUUAGAGGAUAGAUAAUGAGUCAAUUUUUGGUCAGAUUGAUCUCAAGGGCAUGUAUGUUAGAGAAUUUUGAAUUUCCAGCAGCUAUAUUUACACCCUAUGCAAGAGGAUUUUUUUUUUUUUUUUUUAUCAGAUUGAUCUCAAGGGCAUGUAUGUAAAGAGAAUUUUGAGUUUCCAGCAGCUAUAUGUUGAAUUAGUUUGUAAUUUUACAUGGCAAUGGCAAUUGCUCAAAUGAAUAUUUGAAGGUUGCUGGGCUAUAAUUAGUUAUAGGACUUGCUAAAGAUUCUUGAUGUAUUUCCCAAGUUACAGAGAGUAUCAUCAUUCCCUAAAUCUUUUAUUCCCCAUCUAUGCACAGGCCAGCCCAGCGUACCGUUGAAAAGAAGAAUGGAAAAAUGCAAAUCUGGAUAUGCCUAUGUUUCCAUCUGUCAGAUUUGCAGAUUUUGUUUGUAUUCUGAUCGUUCCAGGCAAUUUAGACAUGGUUCCGAGACUUUCUACUAGUUGUUUAUACUAGUUAUUAAAUAGUUCCAGGUCCCUGAUUGGCGGAGAUUUUCUCUUUGUUUCACCAAAACAGUAGUAGUAUUACUCCCCUUCCCACCAGCAUUAUCAUAAUUAACUUUGACAUUGACAUUAAAUCACUCUCGUUGAUCUGUCAUUAGAUGGAAGUUCAUGUGCAUUAGGCAUUGAGAAAAAAAAAAAAGAGUGAAAGCAAAAUGCUCAUUCACUUUGUCUUCAUGAUCAUAUACAUGUAGCGCAAGCAAACGUGCAUGAAAGAGGACUACUCCAUGGCCAUUUUCAUUCAGAUUAUGAAGCUUCUAAGAUUGUGCUACACAAAGGUUGAGAUGAUGGGAAGCACCAUUCUUAUGAGUCAGGCUGUAAGGAUAAUGAUUGAUUUAUAUCCACCAUAAGUAGGCAGUCAUCCCCCAAGAAAGUAGAGUCCAGACCCUCCAAGUCCCAAGAGCAGACCUGUUCAAGUACUUCAUCAUCAAUCUCUUAAAUCUAACAAACUCUCAACUAGGAUAUUUUGCUUAUACUCAGGUGGACGCAUGUUUUAUGCUAUUUGAGAAAUUAAGAAAAAAAAUCAGGGAUGAGAUUAUUUAAUUUAUCGUUAAUUAUGCAGAACAACAUUGGCAGAUGAUAUGACCAAUAAAUGUAUGUUUUUCAAAAUAAGCAGACAUAGAGAGUGUACAUAAUCAUGAGUGAUAUAUAGUAAGACCGUGUAUUCCGAAGUUAUUCACUCUUCUGCAAGAAAAUUGGUAAAUAAAUUGUGCAAAUUAAAUUUUUUUUUUUUGGGUCGCAGGCCUAGGCUAUAAUUCGCCAAUGAAUACGAUCAAUAAGGGGUUUGAAAUUUUGUUAGUCAAAUUUGUAAUUUUACUAACCUCAUGGUUUUUAACCCCUAAGGGAGACAAAAUGAAUAGAUCAUGGGCCCAACCCAAAUGAUUGGGAUUUGGGGUGCAAAAUUGUUAGUUAAAGUCUGUUUAGAUUGAAGAUUAUUUUUAAAAAAUAAAAAAAAUAUUAUAGAACUUAUUUUUGAGAUAUAAAAAGGUGGUUAAGAAACGUAUUUAUAAUGCAAAAAAAAAAAAUUUUUAACAAAAAUUCUCAAUCCAAACAAUGACUAUCAAGUCUUACAAGCUAGCCUACUUAAUACUUUGUUAACAUUUCUCACAAGAAUAUUAAAAUCGUUAUCCGCCACGAUUAGGAAGGAAGCAUCUAGGGGUGGGCACGGGUCGGGUACCCGCCCCUAAUAAGUUUUGGCUGACCCGACCCUAAAAAAUCAGAUUAGCCAUUUUGCGACUCUAACCCGCUCCUAAUAUUUUCGGGUACCCGCUAUUCGGAUACCCGAAAAAAAGGGGCGGGUCAUAGGGUACCCGCUCCUAAAAAAAAAAUCCAAUAAAAAAUAUUUUUCACUUGAUAUCAACAUAUUUUUCAAUAAAAAAAUGCUUUCUAAUUAACAUUGGUAGAGAUAUUAUAAUCAAAAUCCAUACGUCAUCAUUCUCACACAUUUCAUCCAAUAAUCAAACCGAUCUCAUAAAUUUAGUACAUAUUAGAAUUAUAAUAUCUAAUAGAUAAAAUAAAAUUUUAUGAUAAUUUUGAGUACAUCACAAUUCUCACGCAUUUCAUCCUUUUAUAACAUAACAAACACAAGGAUAAUAAGUAUUUGGCAACUUUUCCAACUUCCUUAAGGAUGUUAUGGUACAAGACUGCAUCCAAAAUGAGUCGAUUGUGGAAUCAAAUCCGGAAAAGAAUUGAACAGAGCUAAUAAUUUUUGAAGUAUAAUCAAAAUAAUCUUGAAAAAUUUUCACCAACUUUCUUACAUCUUUGGAAUAAACCUUAUUGCAUUAAAGGUGAUGAAAAAGAAAAAUAAAUUUCUUGCACUAAAAUAAAGGAGACAAAUUUAAGAGACACAAUUGCAAUAAAACAAAUAAAUAAAUGAAAGACACAAAUGUUUUAAUUAUCUAGCUAAUAGAAAAUUGGAGCUCCAAACACAAAUUUUUGAUUAAAUUGAUGAAAAAAUUGCAAGAAAGAUCGAUGGAAGUAGAAUAAAAAUGAAAAAGGAUGAAAAUGAUGGACAAUUUUUAUGAUAGAGUUUCAAUAAUUUUUCUUUGUUUUGUUCAUUUUAGUUCAGGUUUCACCAAGAAUAUUCGUUUUUUUAAGACAAUAUGAGGAGAGGUGGAUCAUAUGAGAUUAGAAUAUGAGGUUGUGAACCACUUUACUUACACUUAGGAUUAAAAAUUAUAAAAAUUAUAUGAUGAACCCUUAUUUUUUUAAUAUUUAUAUAAUAUACCCUGCGGGUCGGGUACCCGCGAGUUUUUAUUUUACUGAUCCGUAUCCGUAUCCGUAUCCGUUUUUACGGGUACCUGAUCCGCAUCUGCCCCGCUAAGAAAAUCGGAUUGGAUAUCCUAUUUUUCGGAUCGGAUCGGAUAUUUUGCCCACCCCUAGAAGCAUCCUUGCCCUUCUCCCAAAUAGUUGCCCCUGGCCGGCUUUUGCGGCCGUCCCUCGCGGAUGAGUAGGCCUGUCAACGGGCCGGGGUCCGAGUCCAAAUUAAUAAAUCGGGACCCGAACCCGUCAUACUGUAUUAGUUCCGGACUCGACUCAAAUACCCGACGAGUCUCCUAAUCUUUCUACCAGACCCGCACCCGACGGGUCCCGGAUCCGGGACCGGCCUAUCCGGAAAAAAGGCCCAUCAAAAACCUGUUUUUACUACAACUUCAGCACCUGACUUCAACACACCGCAUGCAAAAAAACAACGUAACUCGGCCUCGCAUUCCACAGAGAGAGAGAGAGAGAUGGAAAUGCUAUGAAAAAAACUCCUUGGGAUGAAAACACAAAAUUGCCAAUUAGUUCUUCGAGAGAAAGAUGUGCCAGUCAGUUCAUUGCAUCAUUUGGUGCCUGAUCAAUACCUUUCCCUUUCCAAUUGACUAGUUAAAUUUUUGCACGAUUAAGUUGAGUUCUUUCUGUUGAUUUUACCUCGAUAUUCUACAUCCAGCACAUUAAAACUUCAACAGGAUGAAAUUGCAAAAUCUGAAAUUGAAGAGACGAAGAAACUCGCAACUAUCACUUUACUGCCGAAGCCUAUUUUAAACAUAAUGGAGGAGAUUAGCCGUGAAAGACCUAACAAGCAUCUCAAAUGACACUGCUACAAAGUAUGGUGAAAUCCCUAGCAAGUCCAACCAAUUACCAUCCACAGCUGGUAAGCAAAAAACAAAAGAGAAAAGAGAGUGAGGGGAAAAAGAGAUGUGCGGCGGUGGGUAUUAGGGUUGGAAAAUUUUGGGAAUGAAAGAAGUAGAAAUGUAGUAUUGAUAUGAAAAAUUAUGAUAGAUUAGUAUAUAUUUUUUAAUUAUUAAUUAAUUAAAACGGGUUCGAGUCGAAUACGGGUCGGAACGGUAUAUUUCGUAUUCGACUCAUAAAUUUGUUAGAUAAAAUGGGUCCGAAUCGCGGAUCAAUAUACCUAUCCGUACCCGGGAAAUGUUGACGGGUCCGGUUCGGGUCCGGGUCCAAACCCGGACUGUUGACCGCCUAUGGAUGAGCCAAUUGUUGCUUUCUUUUUUUUUUUUUUUUAAAAGCCAAAUGUUGCUUUCUAUCCCAAACUGUUCAUACAGUUUCAGUUUUUCAAGGAUUCACGAUGUCAAUUAUUUCGGUUCCUAAUCUUUGACAUUUCGUUUAAUGUAGUUCCCUAUUUGCCACAACUAAUCAAUUCAAUCCCCAAUCUUAAUAAAAUUCAGCUACUACAUAACUUUUAAUGCAAAAUUUCAAACCUAACAGAUCUCGUGACCGUGCACUAUGUUUCCUUAGAUUUCGGAAAUUUUCCUUAUUAGUUUCUUAUAUUAAAAACUAUACAAUAUGGUUCCUCACAUGUAUAAAAUGUACUAUUUUGAUCUCCACACCUACUUUAGUGAUUUUUGGGGGUGUUUUUGGUACUAACAAGUUUUGGCACAAAAUUUGGCCCGAAUGAGCUAUCGACCAAAAUUGUAUGUUUGUUAUUACGUGAGGGACCAUUUUGUAUCGUUAUUUGAUGAUUUUUUUUUUUCAAUGGUGCAUGUGGUAUGGUUGGCUAGGUUACGCUAAGCGUCAUAUAUUAGCUAUAUUUUGUUAUAAGAGAUAAUUUUAAAAACCUCCUCAAAGUUUUUGAUAAUAGCACUUAGCACCUCCUAAAGUUUAAAAAAAAAAUCACUUGGCUCUCUUAUUAUCAAAUGUUUGUGAUAUCUGAAGCUAAAUUCAAAAUAUAUUAGUACAAUACUCAUUUUAGGAAAGAAAAAAAUAAUUUCUUUCUAACAUUACCCUUUUGUUGCCUUACUAUUUUACAAAAUUAUAAUUAUAUUAAUAAAAAAUUAAAAACAAAGAUAAAAAGCAUGAAGACGUAAUGUAGGACAAAAUAUAGCAGUCAGAACCAAAAGUAGCAUGCUUUUUUAAAGUACAAAUAUAUACUAAAAGCUUUUUUAAGGUAUUUUCAAACUAUAAAUUUGUUUUCAUUAGGAUUUAUCUAUUUUGUGCUCUAAAAUCAAGUAAAAUUAGAAAAUAGGAUAGAUGUUAUUUUAUUUUUAUUUUUCCUUGGCAAAAACGGUAGAUUUCUUCCGCAAAAAAGUUUUGUAAUUUAAAAGGUCAGUUGUGAUUUUAAAACUUUAACACUAGGUCCACCUUUAUUUUUUGGAUGUGCUUAUCAUUGCCCUUAAGAUACCAAAUAAAAUAAAUUUUUUUACAUAUAAUGUUUUGAGUGAAUUUAAAGAAUUUUAUAAAUUGAUUGUAAUUUUUUUUAAUUUUUUUGUUUGGAUAGAUAGCUUGAAAAUUAGAAAAAUGAAAAUUUAAAAUUGUAUUUAACACUUAUUUAAGAUGUUGUCAAGAUGCCAAAAAAAUUAUUUUCUUCGUCUUUAUAGUUUUUUCUGCUAUUUUUAACAUGUUUUGUAAAUUAUUAGAAGUUGUAAAAUUUUAACAUUUUUAUCCACGUUAUAAAAUAAAAUCCAUUAACGGAUCUCUCAAUCCUGUUAACAACUUAUCAUUUUCUAUUAAAGAAGCGCAUUAUUCAAGUUCUCAAAUGUUAAGAGAUUUUAAAUUAGUUUGUUAUAACAAGUAAGAGGUCACAACAAAGGACCAACUUUAGAAUGAAGUUAUCUUGAUACUCUCAAAACUAGUUUUUUAAUGAUACAUUUUGAUUUGGGAAUGUCACAAAACUUUGAAAAUAAGAAAUGCAAGUGAUAUUUUUUAAAUUUCAAAAGUGCUAAGCAAUAUAGUCAAAAACCUCUAGGGAGGUUUUUGAAAUUAUCCAUUGUUAUAAUAAGAAGGGACUAAAUUAGUUAGUCAUGCAUGAUAAUAGUUAGUUAUGAUUGAUAAGGGUUGGUGUAUAACUUGAUAUGUCAAACACAAGAGAUCAAGCCUCCGGGGGUUAGUGCGACCGGUCCAGUAGCCUCCUCUUCAGGAGCAAGGUCCCGUGUUCGACUCUCUCCCCAUACCGCGCUGGAAUCCUUGGGGCGGGCUCUUCCAGCCUGGGGGAUACCCCUAGUCGACAAAAAAAAAAAAAAAAACACAAGAGAUCAACACCGUAAUUAUUCAAUUAUGUUUUUGAUCCACGCACUGUUGGCCUGCUCCACGCGGAUCAUCCGAUCUAUUUAACUAGUAGUAGUAAUAAUAAUAAUAUUAAUAAAACGAGUGGCUAAAAAUUCUCUGGGCCAUUAAUGAAUUCUUACCCCAAACUAAAACCCAAGAGUCCCGAGCCCAGUUUUCGAAUCCGACCUUCAAAAUUCAAACUGGAAAAAAAAAAAAAUUCUACUCUAAUACUAACCGGAGUAACCUCCGUCACUUAAACCGGUGAAUUGAUAAAAACACACAUUCACGCACUCAUCCACCGUACUCACCCGCUGCCUCCUCUGCUGGACAAUCUUUGGGAAAAUGGAGAAAGAGCAUGACCCAACAUUAUCAGCAUCGCCGCCGGCAACUGCCGGUUGUGAGUUGGGAGAAGGGCAAGCUAAGCUAUAUGAGGCCUACAAUGAGCUACAUGGUUUAGCGCAGGAGUUCGAGACGCCGUUCGACGCCCCAGCUGUGCUGGUUGUGGGUCACCAAACUGACGGCAAAAGCGCACUCGUGGAAGCUCUCAUGGGUUUCCAGUUCAACCACGUCGGUGGCGGUACCAAGACUCGCCGGCCCAUUACUCUCCAUAUGAAGUAUAAUCCCGACUGUGACUCACCUCUCUGUCAUCUGCUCUCUGAUUCUGACCCCAGCAUUGACCAACAGUUGUCACUUCAAGAAAUUCAGGUAGUUUAAAAGAAAGAGACUACUAAAUGUUUGCAUAGCAUUGUUUACUUACUUUAAAAAACUUGAAUACCUUUUUGGUGACGUUGCGUUUUUCCAGUUAGUUAUCGUCACUUGCGAGCUUCAAGAUUGGCAUUUUUUCAAUAAAAUGCUGUUUUAGCGUGAAUGCCAAUAAACCAAACAAACAAACGGCUGUUGAAUGAGGUGGAUUCAAUUAAUUGGAGGAUUGAUGAUAUUGCCUUGAUUGUCUAUAUAUAUAUAAACCCGAUCAGUGUUACUGUAUUGACUAGGAAUUAUUGAAUUUGGAAUCCUUUACGUUCACAAACAGUUCAAGGUAGGUUAGCCGUGCCUUUGAUUUCGGAAUAUAGCAGUUGCCAAUUGUGUUUUCAAAAGUUUCCUGCUAUGUUACCUUUUAAGUGAAUUCAACUGGUUAAUACAUGGUUGAGCCGUACCUUCCAGUAAAUGAUACAGUAUCAUAUGCGCUGCCAAAGGCUAAAUCUAACACCAAAAAGUGAACUUAAUUUGUAUUUACCAUCAAUAUUUAAUUAUGCUUCCCACAUUCAUUUGGAAAUAAGUUGGAUACACUUUAUCAUCUGAAGUGAACAGUUUUCCUAUAACUGAGGCAUUUUUUUAGAAUAUUUUAACCUCUGUAUGAUUCUAGGCAUAUAUUGAAGCUGAAAACAUGAGGUUGGAGAAGGAACCCUGUCAGUUUUCUUCUAAAGAAAUAAUCAUCAGAGUAGAAUAUAAGUAUUGUCCGAACCUCAGCAUUAUAGACACUCCAGGACUUGUUGCUCCAGCCCCAGGUCGGAAAAACAGAGCUUUACAGGUCCAGUCUUCUUAGAAACUUCAUAUCUUUUUCGUGUUUCAUUAAUGGCGGUGAUAAAAGUUGAUUUUGUGUACACAACAGGCUCAAGCUCGUGCAGUGGAAUCUCUAGUGCGAGCUAAGAUGCAGCACAAGGAGUUUAUUAUUCUAUGCCUUGAAGAUUGCAAUGAUUGGAGCAAUGCAACUACUAGAAGAGUGGUAAUGCAGGUAUAUACUUGUGUAGUACUAGAUUUAUCUCAGGAAACCACAAAUUUAAUGGCAAAAUGAUUCUUUGAUAGUCUUGUCUGUUAAUUGAAAUCUUGGCUGAAUCUCUUUCCAUGCCUCUCUCAAUAUCUAGAUUGAUCCCGAGCUUUCAAGAACUGUUGUUGUUGCAACGAAGCUCGAUACUAAAAUACCUCAGUUUGCACGAUCAUCAGAUGUUGAAGUAUUUCUUUCGCCACCUGCAUCUACUCUUGAUGGGUUCAUGCUAGGUGACUCCCCUUUCUUCACAUCUGUCCCUUCUGGAAGAGUAGGUUUGGGGCAUGAAUCAGUUUAUCGAUCAAAUGAUGAGUUUAAACAGGUUUGUCUUCCCGUAUUUGAACUGUAUUUACCAAUCUGCAUUAGCUUUUAUGAGUGUUUUUAUUGAUGAUGACAGCUGGUAGAUGCCUGUCUAAGUCUAUUCAUGUCAUACAAUUGUUGCACAGACAGAUAGCUCUUCUCCUUUUGUCUGCUAUUAACCAGUAUCGGUCUUUCUUUACUGUGUGGUCAUUGGGGUGAUAUUACAUGUUAGCCAGAGUCAUAAAAGUUGUAUGGCCUAUGAUUUUGAUAAGAAUGAUCAUACUUUUUUGGUCUCAAAUUAUUUGUCUACCUUCAAAACUAGGUUGGCAUUUUCUUUGGUCAAUCCUCACUACUUGAACUGUAUGAUGGUUGAAGAAUAUAAGCCUUUUCUUGUCCGACUUGAUUGCUCGCAAGCAGAGGUUACAAACUUUUAAAUACUUUCUCAUUUAUGUUGUCUAUGUAGGCUAUUUCCUUGAGAGAAAUGGAGGAUGUAGCAGCAUUGGAGGAGAAGUUGGGUAGAUCACUCACAAAACAGGAAAGGAGCAGAAUAGGUGUCAGCAGCCUUAGGCUGUUCUUAGAAGAGCUAUUGCAGAAAAGGUAAAAUUUUUCCACAGUUUCAUUAAUGAGUCAUUUAUCAAAGAAAGAAAUGAUCCUAUCACUGAUCUUUGCAUGCUGUAACUGAGAGUUUGAGAUUUAUGGAUUGCAAGGUACAUGGACAGUGUACCAUUAAUCAUCCCACUUCUUGAAAAAGAACAUAGGAGCAGCACAAGGAAGCUGACUGACAUAAAUCAAGAGCUAAGGUUUGUAGCUUAUCUCCAAAUGAUAUCUGAGUGGGUGAGAUGAAAUUUGAGGUGAAUAAAUGAAGUGAGAACCCUUUUUUUUUAAAAUUUUUUUGACCACUUCACCCACAUCACUAAUGGACAUAGAAUGGACUUUCUACCAUUUUCCAACAAUAAUUUGUUUGAAAUUUCUAACAGCACUUUGGAUGAAGUAAAACUGAAGGAGAAAGGAAGAGCUUUCCAUGACCUGUUCCUUACCAAGGUUAAUUCUGCCACGUCCUUGGCAUAUAUGUUAAUGAUCCUAAAAUCCAGUCAAUGUUUUUGGCAUGAAUUCUAGUUAUUAUUAAGCUCAUCCUGUAUACGAGUGCAUUCCAGAGUUGUUAUCACAUAUGUGAAUUCAAUGGUCUAAUGGAUGUUUUUUAUCUUUCUUUUUCGAGGUAUUUGUGCUUAAAUGCUGAAGUACCAUUUUGUUCUUUAGUAUUCUGAUGGAUUCUCAUUUCAUAUACAGUUGUCGCUGCUGUUGAAAGGAACUGUCAUUGCUCCACCUGAUAAAUUUGGUAACCAUCUUGAUGUUUCUAUCAUACAACAUUGUCUGCAUAUAGUUUAUGGGUUAUUUGGAGUUUAAAUUUACACUUUCUCUAUGUGUAUGUGCGAGGAGACUGUUUUAGUGGUGUGAUGUAUGUUUUAGAGUUUCACAUUACACGUGUUGAUUCACCUAUGUAAUUCUAAAACUAAAUGCUUUACCUGAAAAUUGAUUGCUCAAACCAAAUUCUGACUAUAAUUAUGCACUUCUGGUCUUGUGUGUAGGGGAAACUCUACAAGACGAGAGGGUCAAUGGAGGAGCAUUUGUUGGAAGUGAUGGUCUUCAGUUUCCACACAAGCUGAUACCUGUAAGUUUGGUCGUACCUUGCUAUGCGUUCCUCUUUGACUUGAAGUACUUGACGCCCUUGCUUUUCUGUUUUGUGGAAGUGUUGAUACAUGCUGAAUGCUCAAGGCUGUUAUUCCAAACUUGCAUCUUCUACAUAAACUAGAUCAAACAUUUUAAGAUUGCCAAGCAUUAUGUCUAAACCUGCAUUUAAACUGAAAUUUUUGUCAAUUACAUGUAGAUAUAUUACGUCACACAGCUUUAUUCCUUUUCACAGUAAAAGUUUCCUUCACCUUUCUUCUGGCUUGUCAUUCAGAUGAAUUAAAUUAUUAUCCAGCACAUUUUGAUUCUAGUCUAGGGGGAACCCCUCCAUUAAGCUCAUCAGCAAGUAUCUCUGUUUGCAUAGAAUGCUGGAAUGCGUCUUUAUGGAGGUGCUCAGUAUCAUCGUGCAAUGGCUGAAUUUCGUUUUGUUGUUGGUGGAACCAAAUGUCCUCCAAUUACACGUGAAGAAAUUGUAAAUGCAUGUGGAGUUGAAGACAUUCAUGAUGGGACAAACUACUCUAGGUACCCAUCAAUUCUGAGUUAGACUUGGAUUUCUGAUUCUACUUCAUCUUCAGUGUUGCUUUCAUGUAUCCUGUUGAAGUUUAGUUGUUCUUCUCUCCCUUUCACAAUUUAGGACAGCUUGUGUCAUUGCUGUUGCAAAAGCUCGUGAUACAUUUGAGCCUUUUCUUCAUCAGGUGAUUUGAGUACCUUUCUUUUCUUGUCUUAACUAUGUUUUAAGGAAAAUUGAUCUGGUCAUGAUUCUGUUCUUGCUAAAGAAAUAUUUUGAGAAUUGGAACACGUUUGUGUUAGUUAAAUAGAUUGAGAUAAAAGAUGGUGUUAAAUGAGGAGAACUUCUGAAAAUCCACAAAUAUUGGACUCCUAGUCCUAAUGUAUAUAAGCAUAUGAUGCUAUUGGGCAGAUUAGUGAAUGUGAGACUAUGAGGACAUAAAGAAUUAAUUGAUCAUGUUGGUUGGAUUUCACAAUGCAAAAUUUGUUAAAAGACAGGGAUGGAGAGAAGGGGAGGAGUAAGGAUAGAGAGAAAGAGAACAGACCCAAGUGCUUAAAGUUAUCCUCCAUUGAUAUUUCCUACAAUGUUAAAUAUGACAAAUUUCAGUAAAAAGUUGUUUUCAUGUGGAUUUUCUGUUCAUUUUCUUCUACUUUCUUUUUUAUUCUAAAUACGUUUUGUCAAACUAAGUGUUCUUUUCCACUUAUAGUUGGGAAACAGGCUGUUGCACAUUCUGAAGAGAUUGCUUCCCAUCUCUGUUCAUCUUCUUCAGGUGAGGUAUAGUCUUUAGUAAUUUGGUUACAUCCAUUUUCUUUAUGAUCAAUUCCUCCUCUGAUGGGUAUAAUUAUACUCUGAAUGUUUUUAACAGAAAGAUGGUGAAUAUCUAAGUGGCCAUGAAGUAUUUCUCAGACGGGUUGCCUCUGCCUUCAACAACUUUGGAGAAUCCACUGAAAGAUCAUGCCGUGAAAAGUAAUGUCGUUUGUUUCAACUCCUCUUUGUCAAGUUCUUUGGUUUAUUGUUUCUAAAGCAAAAUUGCUUCUUUGUUCUUCUCUUUCAUGCCAUAUGACGUGGUGUUUUUGGCUCCAGUUUUGUGGAGCCCUGUUGUUCUAAAUAAGGUAUUUCAUAGAUUAAUAAAAAUAUCUUGUAUACGGUUUCUGAUAGAAUUGUCAGCCCUGCUAAGUGAAACUUAUGACUACUUGUGCUCAACAUAGCCUUUUUGGACACUAUGCCGAGAAUUUUGGACUGCAUAUAUUCAAUACCUUGUAUUUGUCAUACUUGCAGGCUUCCAAUCCAACUUGUUUUCUCUUGAAUUGAACAGACAAUAAAGUUUUGCACUUCCUUUUGAAAUAGAUCUUGAAUUCUGAAGUCACAGUGGAAAAUUGAUGACCUUUUUUUAGCCUGUUAAGUAGCUUCUGCAUUCUCUUUAACUGCACCUCUUGUUCUUUUAGCUCUUAAAAUCUUCAUCAAUUUUAUAAAUACUUACUUUGCCAUAUUAAUUUGUCAUUUUUUUCAUAUUAAAACCUUCUGACUAAUUGUUGCUCAGAAUUUCUAGAACUUCACUUUUGGUAAAACUAUUCAUAGAAUUUUGUCUCUCUCUCUCUCUCUCUCUCUCUUUUAUUUUUAUAAAAAAUUAUUUUAGUGCAUGUUCCUGCUUACAUUCUUGUUUAUUAGGGGGUUUGAAAUACAUGAGCUGUUCAAAUGAUUCUGUUGGUCCUUAAAUAUUUUCAGAUGCAUGGAGGACUUAGUCAGCACUACUCGCUACGUAACGUGGUCCCUCCACAAUAAGGUUUGACAUUUUACCUAAUAGAGCUACAAAUUCUUUUUCCUUUAGAAUUUCAAACAAGUCUCUCUGCACCCUUUUAGCCGAAUGCAGUAUCAGUUACAAUUUUAGUCUCUUCCAGUAAGUGAUUAUUCAUUUGCAAAGUCUGCUGACAGUGAACUAAUUGUCUCAGUGAACCGUGUCUUUAUCCCAUGAAUUUGAAGAACUGAAUUGAAUCAACAUUUGUAAUGUCUUCGUGGGCUAUAGUUAGACAUGAGUUCUUUAGCUCCUUGUUAUUUUGGGUUGGAUUUCUGAUGGAGGGGGCUUGGGAUAUGUUUUAUUUUUUGCUUGUAUGCCAUUUUGCUGAGAAACAUGGUCAAAUGAAAUUUUUUUCUUUGGUUUUGGUCUUUGAAAAUCGCACUUGUCUUAUGUAACUCUGUCUGGUGUGUUUGUACAUGAAAGAAAAAUAUGAUCAAGAGAAACUUCAUUAUUUGAUUUUGGUCUUUAGAAAUCACAGUGUAAUUAUUGCUUUUACAAAGAUUAUACUUAAAAUUUUAAAGAUUUUUCGGGAAGAGGAUGAAGGCUUCGAAAUGUUUUCCUUUGGUUGUUGAACCUUUAUAUCAUGCUGAGCUAAAACAUUUACUGUAUAUCUAGAAUAGAUUGUGGAGUGACAUAUUUGAUUUGGUAUGAUGUAAAUAGUGUUGUUUUCAUGAAAUGUAAGACAAUCAAAAGCUGUGAGGCUGUACCUCACAAUGAGAACUUUGUUCAUCUUGGUGGCAACAUCGUUCAAACUUUAUCAGCUUAGAUGGAUAUAUUCUAAGCAUGCGACUAAACAGAGAUCUGUAAUCUGAUACUCCCUCCUUGCAGAGGCUAUAUGAACAAUAUAUCCAUUACUUUCUGUAUGUUUUCUUUUCUUUAUGCCUGUCCUACAUUAUGCUUCCAGAAUCGUGCUGGACUACGUCAGUUCUUAGACUCAUUUGGUGGAUCAGAACAGUCUGCCACGGGUGGUAACUCAGUAGCUGCCAGUCUUUCCCAAGAAUUGUCAUCUCUGUCUAUGGCCAGUGAUAAGCAGGACAGUAAGCCAAGGCCAGACGUGAAGCUCGGUCAUUUGGCUUCAGGGAAUGAUUCAAGUGGGAGUGUUCAGGCAACAGAGACAAGAUUGGCUGACCUUUUGGAUAGCACACUUUGGAACAGGAGGCUUGCUCCUUCUUCCGAAAGGAUUGUCUAUGCAUUGGUUCAACAGAUUUUCCAUGGGAUAAGAGAGUACUUUUUGGCAUCUGUUGAGCUGAAGGUUUGCUCUUACAUUAGUAAUUCUCUUUAUUGCACACUGGAGACAGAGAGAGGAGAGUCUUGUUUAUUGAUACUGAUUAUGUUUGUCUUUUUGAUAUUCUUCAGCAUUUGUUCUGUUGCUUCCUGCUUCCUUGAAUUUCUUCUUUCACUUUCUUUUCGCGCUGAAAAAAUUUUUAGUCAUUUCAGUUGAGCGUUUUCUGAUAUUCUCUCAGAAUAUUGUUGGAGAUUUUCCCUAUCAUCGGCUCUGGCUUCUUUUCUGCAGUUUAACUGUUUCCUCCUCAUGCCGGUUGUGGACAAAUUACCCGCACUCCUUCGGGAAGACCUAGAAUCUGCUUUCCAAGAUGAUCUGGAUAAUGUUUUCGACAUCACCAAUCUGCGCCAUUCUCUGGGACAGCAGAGGCGUGAAGUAGAAAUUGAGCUUAGACGGGUAUAUAUACAUAUGCAUUGCCUUCAUUGCUUCGUCUCUCUUGAUUGUGCCAUCUCUUGUUUUCUCAAAAACCAUAUAAUGAUUUGCAGAUAAAACGACUUAAAGAGAAGUUCAGGCAGAUUCAUGAGCAACUAAUUUCACAUGAAGUCAUGUGCUAGUCAUAACCGGUUAGAUAUGUAAAGUUGAGUUUUCUUUUCAUGCCAUUUCCAGCAAUGUAUGAUAUCUUUUUAAUAAAAUUUUUUCCCUUUCUUUCAGACCAGUUUGAAGGUGGGAUGAUCAAGUGCCGGUGCUAUUUGAGUUUGUUGCAUGACCACAAACGUGUGUGCCAGUUGUAUCGAUGCAUUAGAGACUUGAUCAACCUGAAAAUCUCAUCCAAGCUUUAGAUUUUGUGAUUUUUUUUUUUUUUGCUUGCACGUUUUCUUCUCUGCUUUUGGAUAAAUAUCUCAGAAGUUAUUCAAUUUCUCAUCCUUUUUCAAAAAGGGAAGAAAAAAAAAAACUUUGAAUCAAAUAAUACUCUUUAUUCUUCAGCCACCAAAAAAAGAAAAAAAAAAUCCAAAAACAAAAGAGCUAUCAGCUAUGGCAAGUUGGCAACUAAAACCGAACUCCCUUUGGGAUGGCAGUUUGAUAUUUGAGGCGACCAGCGAGACCCAAGACUGAAAGAUCAAAAUCUGAUGGCAAAAAAUGCACCAUUAAGAAAAGCGUAUUGUUAAUUAGGAAGUGGACAUUGCUUGCAACAUUAUUAUAAACACACUUUAUUUAUUUUAUAUUUUUAAUUAUUUUUUGAUAUUACAUACAUCACAUUUACAUUUUCAGUAGUAUUUUAAAUAAAUUUUUCAAAUAAUCUCCUAUUCAAACAUGCUCUUACCGCACAAGGGAAAAGGUUGGAUGGUAAGACCCGUCUAACUUCAUCUUCUGUUUUUUAAUUACUUUUUUACAGUCCAAGAACCUACAGAUUUGGCCUUGCCCGAUUGGUUUACUUAGCUUGGGACAGCUGAAACGCAAGAGCCAACAGCAUUGUCUUCUUCAUCCUGGCCCAUCGAACCUUGUGGUAAACUCCUGAUCCCAAAUAAACCAGAUUAUUGCAUACAUGGUCAGGGAUGUUGUCCAAGAACUGCUGCUGUCUUACAACUUUCCCAUCUUUGAUUUGGAAGGCAAGGCAACGAUGAGAAAUUGUAGGGAGGCGCAUAGCGCAUCAGUGUAUCAUCAUCACAUAGAACGGCGCGUUUGACAACUGGGAGGGGGGAGAGGGUUUCAAACUAUCAGGAAUGACUUCAUUGUCUUUCCACGGAGCGCUGAAACCGUCAAAUAACUUUCAGGCUCCCAUUUUGAUCCCUCUGUUGCACAGUCAUACUCAAAAGAAGCCUCUGUGGUUGAUGCGCAAAGCUUUUCCCCAACAACAACAGAAGCCAACUGGUGAAGAACUUGAUCCAUGGAUCAAGGAUCUCAGAGGAGACCACUGUUUGGUACGAGGAUCAUACCGCUCAAAGCUUGCAUCAGGCACAUGAUUGGAGUGGGGGGGGGGGUGGGGGGCAGCAAGAACGUACAAAAUGCCUUUCAAUCACUACAGCAAGGGGACAAGACUUGCCAGAAAUCAUUUCCUUUUGAGGUGAAAGAAAGACCAACUGAAGCUGGAGCAAACAAAGAGAUGCUUUUUGGGAAUCCAGCGAAGGUGCUGCUUAGCAGUGCUCCUCUUGAGCAUGGGCGGAAACUGCUCGUCGUAGUGGGCAGGGGAGGCGAUUUGCUCCGUGGGAUGUGCAUGUAGAGAACUAAUUAUUCUGUCUGACAUUGUCAUUUUUUUUUUUUGAAUGUUUUAAUGGCAAAAAAUAUAUAUGAUGCUACGUUGACUGCUAGGAAUCAUUAAAGGGACCCGGAUGCUGCUAAAAACUUGCUAGAAGCUCAAUGAAUGUAUCGAAUAAAAGGCAAUUAGGUUGGAAAAAGAAAAAGGAUCUGUAGCAGUACCAUUCUUUGCUAUUUACAUAUAUUUAUUGAGGCGAGGCGCGUAAUGCCCACGUGGCAAUGUGACCGAAGAGAAUGCCACCGCGGAUUUGAAGCCAACUCGAAAGGUCAUAUGGAUAAGGCUCAUGCCCCGUAAAUCAAAUAAUCAGCUGAUUUGCUAGAACUUUGACACCUUAUUAUUUGAAUGCCUUCCUUAAGCACGUGUUGAUUGCUUCUUUUACAUCCUUCCACAAUCAUAUAUGGCGGUUAAUGAACGUCAAAUCUUGAAUCUUAUUGGUCUCAGACUGGUUUUCGUAUAAAUUAUUUCAAUCACCUUGACAUGCUUUUACCCCUCUUCUUUCACGGGUCAAAACACGAGUCACUGAAAAGCGUCCCUUGCAUAUGUGAAAUCUGCUCGGAAUUAUCUGUGCCACAUUCUAAGACACCUACUACUCCGUAUUGUGUCCCAACUGCGAUAACCAGCUUCCGCCGAUGCUCAGGAGGAGUACUAAGCAAAUAUAGUUGGGCUGAUAUGAGCCCCCAAUUCCUCCGUGUCCCUCACGGUCAAUUCCCAAACAACCUCUCUCUUGCUCCAUCUUCUGAUGCUCCUUCACCGGAAAAGGAAAUGAUUUCUGGAAAGUCUUGUCCCAUUGCAGUAGAAAUUGGAGGCAUUUUGUAUGUUCUUGCUGGCCCCCCUACUCGGUAUGAUCCUCAGUACCAGGCAGUGGUCUCCUCUACUGGCCCCUCCUAUCCUCGAGAGACACAGCAAAUUCUUCAGCGAGUUGGCGUAUGCUGUUAUUGGGACAAAGGUUUAUGUAUCAUCGGCAAAGGCCUCUGCUGUUUAUGACUGUGCAACUGCAUGCAACCGAGGAAUCAACAUGGGAGCCCUACAACUUAUUUGAUGGUUUCAAUCCUCAUGUCUUAGCACUCCGUGGAUAAUAUCGUGUGUGGCCCCCCCAUUUCCGUUCGAAAAAGGCGCGUUCUGUAUAAUAAUGAUGCAAUGAUAUGUUAUGCUCCCUUCGUGCAGAAUGCCAUUAUUGCCUUCUAGUUCGGAGAUGGGUUGUAAGAGAACAGUGCUUGGAUAACAUCCAAUAAAUAUGUAUGCUAAAAAUUGGUUCAUUUGGGAAGGGAAGGGGUUGCAGAAGACAAUAUUGUUUGUUUUUUCUCUUAAGCUGUCCAAAUUAAGUAAACCCGUGGAGAAGGUCAAGUUUGCAGAUUCUUGGGUUGCGAAGUUUUCAGAACACAUGACGUAGAGUUUCUAGAAUCUUACUUUCCCAUCUUUUCCUUCGUACAGUAAGGUGCAAACGAUAUGGGUUUUUCCAGUGCAUUCGUCUUAUAUAGUUCAAGUAACAUUUUCUGUUGAUGUCUAGUGUGCUUGUCCAGUUGUGUGAAUGUCAUCUGAGAUGAAGCUGGUGCUGAAAUUUCCAUCAAAUUAUAUGACAACAUGGGGCCAUUUUUGCACUGACGUGCAUGGUACUCGUCCUUGUACGGUGUUUUUUCCUGUUACGGUGCAUCACUAAAUCAUAAGCCAGAAAACAACAUUUGCGACUUCUUUGUCCAGAAACCACAUUGGUGGAAGUUAUUUGUUUAGUCAUUGAUUUAUUGGGACUGGGUAGGAGAUGAAUAGAGGAUCCCUCCUCAAUUACGAUUCGUCUCCAAAAAAAAAAAAAAAAAAGAAUUUUUGUUUGCAAAUUAUCCAUCACAUAUAAUUUUUUUUUUGUCUCAUUAUUCAUUUUUGACAGUUGAAAUUUCGUUGGUAGAGAUAAUUAGAUUUUUUUUUUACUUUUUUUGGCACAAUCUAACAAAUAGUACAAAUGACAAGGACUUCUUUGUCAUGAGAGCAUCUUGUGUUGGUAUCAAUAGCAAUAAUUUUUGACAAUUUUAAAAUUAUGUUGGACUGUGACUAACAAAGAAUUUUAGAUUAAAAUAGAAGUUAGAGAUUAUGUAGAGGGACAAAUUUAGAGUGGAGUGUUGUAUUGCUUUCGUUGUCAUCAUAAUUCAUAUUCGAUUAAGAUUAUAGCUUUUUUUUCAUAACUCCUACAAUUAUUGAGUAUUAUUAGAAUGCAAUAAAUUUAAUUACAAGAGAGGAGGGUAUUAUAGGCAUAAGAGGAAACUAAGAUAGGAACUCUGCUUAGACUCUAAUUUACUUAGACUAAACCUACUUUUAUAAGGAAUAUGGAUAAACUUCAGAAUUUUUAUGAUUGAGAUAGAAGAUCUCUGAUUGAUACGAUUAUGGGUUUCAAGUUCCAAAUUGAUUACGAUUUAAUUCAUUUAUGGCCAAACAAACUUUGAAAGAAUUGAUCUCCAAUAUUAAUAAUCAUUGUGCAGAAAAAAAAAAUCUCCAAUUAAUAGUGUUGAAAAGACUAGCAGCUAAAAUUACCAUCACGCAAUUCAAAGUUUCGUGCACACACAUCAAUGUUUGCUCAACCUUAUUAGUUAAUCAGUCAUUAGUGUAAUGCUCUCCUAACUUUUGGAAUAAAGACUGAUAAUUAAUCGAGUAUAACUCUCUGAAAUCAGAUUUUGGAUGGCAGCUUCUCAUUGCAUUUGAAAAUGGGACCAACCUAUUGUGCCCACAAAAAAGCUAAAAAUUAAUGUAUGAUCCAAAAAUUAUUGGUCACGAGCAAGCAGCAACAGCUGGUGGGGGGUGUGGAGUGGGACUGGCAGAAACUUUAUCUUCCAUUCCAAGUUAAAAUCAUACUAGUCCACGAAAGGCAGCAAACCAUUCCCCAUUUUACUUGGGGUUCUGCAAAAAUUGCUUCAAAGCAAUGAAAUUUAGGGCUUCCAUCCAAAGCCAACUCUAGCUGAACGGGAAGAUCAGCCUGCAUGGAGCUGUCAGGUUUGUUGAGAACGUGCAUUCAGCUGUACGUAGGGCUCGAUGCUGUUAGCUUUUGGGGUUGGAUGUUCCAGGGGUCCUUCAUCGUUAGUUCAGUGCUACAGUUGAGGGCAAUGCAUCUGGAGUUUUAAGGAUGAAAUGAAUAUGCUGAAAGAAAUAUGAGAUGGACUGGCCAACCACCGCUACGUACGCCCAAAUACAUGCAUCCAUAGGUUGCAAAUUUCCUGGAUGACUGACAAGUGCGGGUAACAUAAGCGAGAAACUCAGAGAAAUAGCAUCUAAUCCACUGACUCGUUUGGUCUACAUGCCUUUAUCUAAUGGCAGGAAAUCAUCACUAUUCCUAGCUACCUUUCUUUGAUUUGAUGCAACAUUCUAAAAGACAUUGAAUAUCAUGAACUUCUAGAAAGCUUUUUCUUUUUCUUUUUAAUUGUAGCCGGGGACCUUUUUUGAUUCCUAGCAUUCAGAUAUAUGGUAUUAUCCUUUCAAGAAGAUAAUUACGGAAUGGUCCCCGUCGUUGUAGGAUCUGCUUAAUUGUAUAUAUGCUUUUGGAUUUUUACUUGUCCAGGGACCUCACGGUCGAGCAAGAGAACAACUACAACUUGCAAUUAGACCAUUGAGCAAAUUCAAGAACUGACGAGGAAUAGGGGUUAAAAACCAGAAAACUCGACAGCAUGGCUUUUUUUUUUUUUUUUGGGUGAGUAGCAUGAUUGAUACAGAUAUGUCUGCAUAUACUGGAAUUUUCCAGUUAAUUACCAUUGUUUGUGUGCGACAAGAAUGUCUCGCAUAUAGCAAAGUCAAAUUAGAUUUAUCUAUGUGCCGCAUACUACGGUUGCUGGCCUCACUCAACUUUAGCAAAAUCAUUUUCUCUGCUAGAAUCUGCCUGCUUUAAUUUUUAUAGCAAUAAAGGAACAUAAUUAACGCAUCAUUGCUUGAGAAUCAUAGGACAAUUUCAGCCCUUGUUUGAAAGCUGUUUCUCAAGCAUUGUUGCCAUUUUCUGGCUAGCAACUUCCCUUGCUAGAUUCUUUCAUAACUGGCCGUUUGAUGCCUUGGCUUCCCCGUACUUAGAAACGAUUGAGUUGCAUGCAGUACAAGAGUAGUAAUUAUCUGUUCCAUUCUCUAUAAUGAAUCAUUUGAUGUACAACAAUCCCUAUCUACCCCACAUCCUAAAAUUCCAUAGAUUUUCAAAUUGACGUUAUACCAAGAGAAGAUUUUUCCACAUUGUUACUGCUUUUUGACAAAAAUGACUAUCAAAAAUUCACCAAAUCAUGCGUUAAAAGUUUAAAUCAGUGGCUGGUGCCUGGCAAGCCUAGAAGCCCAACAUGACCACCAGCCAAGCCAAUCAUGCCCAACAGUCCAUGACGAUGACUCCUGGAAUCUCUUUUAAUCAGUUCCCACAAAACGGCAUGUCGCAUUGUUUAGACUACAUGCAUAUAUAAUGCAUUAUCCAGUCCUCAUCAUGCUAUUAAGAAAUCCUAAGGCAAAUAAUUGCUGUAUGAUGAACUCCUUCGGACAUCAAUCAAACAAAAAAAGUAGUAUGUAUGAUCUCAUUCGAUCCUAUGGGACCCCAUAUGCAAAAUCUGAUCUGUACAUAUAUAUAUAUAUGUGUGUGUCUAGCUACUGUAACCUGUAGGAGAUGCAAUAUAUAUAGUACUCCAUAGGCCUGGUGGGAAGUGCUUACUGGCUCUUCAUCUGCUCUAAUCAGAUUGUCAACAAGUGGUGAUUUUUUGGUUGAGCUGUUCGAUACGUGUUCGGUUUAGAAUAGGAAUGCCAUCCAAAGGUCUACCAAAUUUUUGAUGAACAUUCGCGGCAUCCAUCCCAUCCCAUCCCAUCCAUGUUAACUAUGGUCCGCCAAAUUAUAGUCUGGCUUCUCUUGAAACCACCAGCUUUUGUGUUGGUGACCACUACCAAAGUAUUAAAAUUUGGUGGGUGAGAUUCUUGCUUCCCACCGAUUGUCACAUUAAAAAAUAGCUUUAUUUAAAAAAUUCAGACGAGUGCAUAGUAUAUAUGUUUGAUUCGGUGGUGGUUCAGCUCCCUCCGAAUUAUCCCUUGUCCGCCUCUUUCUCUUAGUAUAGGAUAAAUUAGGUUAUACAACAGUUAUCGUCUUUAGGGAAAAAAAAAAAGUCUGGCUUCUCUUGAGAAAAAAGAAAGAAUUAUAGCACCACAAUCAGACGUGGCAUGCAUGAUAUACAUAAAAUAUAUAUAUAUAUAUAUAUAUAUAUAUAUAUAUUCAAGUAAUAAAAAAGAAAAAGAAAAAGCAAUCAAGAUAAGUUAUUAAAUGAACUUAUAAGAAUAGGAAAGACGAUUUAUUUUGCAUAUUUAUUUCUGUCCUGUUGGAACUUGGCUUCCACUUAGAUCUGAGUUCUGACGAGGCGAUAUUCACUAAAAAUGAGGAAUUAUUUUACGUAUUUAGCUAGGUUUGUAGAGAUAUAUAUAUAUAUAUAUAUAUAUAUAUCUAGUUAUGCAUUGCAUGGGGUCCUGGCAGUUGGAGAAACGGGGCCGAAGUCGAUGGUAGCUAAAUUAGUUAGAGAAAAGAUGUACGUUCAAGUGUCAUUGUCCUAUUGCUAAUAUUAAUCGAAGAAGAAGUAAGUGCAGGAUUAUAUCUUUCUUAUCUUCUGCAUCUCUAAGCUAAGCCAGCAGAGAAUGGAAUAAUAAUAAUUAGAAGCAGCGAAAAUGAAUUCUUGAGCUCAAUCUGUAAGUGGGUUUAACGUUUUUAUCAGGAUUAAUACUUAUGGAUAUCAAAUUCCAAGAAGGAUACAGAUGCAUUUGGUUUUUUCUUGACCGCAAAUGGUGAUCGAUCUAUUUGAAUUAUCUACAGAAGAAAUUGCGUGACGAAACUCUUGUGGAGUUAUAAACACGCUUUUGAUAGGUUUGUCGAGUCAUCAAUUGGCAUACUGGCGAUGACUAGUAGUGUGCAAAAUAAUUAAAAAGAAGAUGCUAUUUGCGUUUUCCAGUUGAGGCAAAUCAACAAGGGGAUGACAUUUUCCAAUUGUAUCGGUAAUUAAAUGCUAUUGGGGGCUUUGUUUGGAUUGUCUUUUUUUUUCAGAAAAUUUUUAAUAUUUUUUAUAAAAAUAUUUUUUAUUAUUUUUUAUUUCACGUACAUCAAAUCAUUAUAAUAUAUAUAUAUAUUUUUUUUUUUACAAAAACUCUAAAUAACAGCAAUUCAAGCUGGAUUUUUUAUUCGGAUAUCAGACAAUUAUUGGUAUUGCCCCACGUACCCUUAAUUUUUAUUUCUUGGCUAUCGUCUAAUGCAUAAAUUUUAGUACGAGGACUAAAAUUUUCUUUCGUUUUGGGGGUGGGGUGGGGUGGGGUGGAUUCGCACUGGUUCAUUCCUGCACUCCGUGUCUGGUUGUCGACAGGGGGCGAAGAGAAUGUAAUGGCAUUUGUCCAUCAGUGUCACGUGUGGGGCUCCUCAAAUUCUCAGCCACACUUGAAUAUUGAGCCGCCAAAUCCCACGCGCCAUAGCAGCUCAAAUUGUACUUCCCCUACGCUUCAUUAGCGUAUACUCCAAUAACGAAGGAGAGUUUGCUAUAAAUUAAAUAAUCUUUUGUAAACUACUAUUAUGCAGUCAAUUUUGAGAUGUAAAAUCAUCGCUGUGAUUGGUAAAGGCCUUGAUCCUUUUAGAAAUUCCACCAAAUAUAACGUGUUUAUUUGAUGACACGCACUUGUGGGAAGAAUUUUUUAUUAAUCUAUGUUAGAGAUUAGUCAAGAUGCUUCUUAUUUUAAAUUUUUUUAAUAGGAAAAAAGUGGGAUUUGAAAAGUAGGAAAAGCGAAAGGAGAUUUAAACCUAAAAUUUAUAACUUUUGGGACCAAAAAAGGGAAAAUUUUUAAUUUACACAGUCAAUAAAAUAAAAAUGUAUUUAAGAUGUAAUAAAAAAUGAAUUAAUAUUUUUUUAUACUGUAAGUAAUGGUCGAAUAUAUGCCAUAUCAUUUGAAUUUGAACUUGAAUAUUAAAUUUUAUAUCGGUAGCAUUCAUCUUAACUCGCUGGUAUAUAAACUAUCAGUAUAUAACAAACUUAUCCUAAAAAAAUAAAUAAAUAAAGAGCUAAUCAAGCAAACUCAUUCUUAUUAUAGAUAACGAAUGAAAUCAAAUUCACCAUAAUGGCUUUUAGUAUAGAUGACGACUCAAUUACGUUAUCCGUAAUUGAUCUUAUCCUUGGUGGCUGUACAUCAUCAUUGUACGAUCAAAGAUACAUAUUAGCUGGUUAUUUUCUCAACAUACACAUAUCGCUCCUCAUGAUGAACCGAAAUUAGGGAGAGGCAUCCCUUAAUUAGUGACAGAGUAACUCCUCCAACCUCACACUAGCUGUUUAGCAUUACUUAUCUUUGCAGCCAUUGAUUGCCCAGACCCGUGAGUGAGUGGAGUAGGUACCGUACUAAAAACCCCCUUGUUUUUUUUCGCAGUACAAUUGUUCCCUUCUAGAAUUACUUUUACCUUGGCAAUUAGUAUAUAGUUUUUAGAAGAAAACUGGUUCCAACGGCUGGGAUUUCAUGCAACGUGGAGUUGCUUCCACUUUACAUCAAAUUCGUUUUCAUCAACUUUAGACCUCUACUGUACUUUGUAACCUGUUUCUAUAAUGUCAUUACGCAAGUCACAUUUUGUCAAAGAAAGACAGCGCAUCAUGUUAACAAAAUAAAAAAAAAAAAAAAAAAAUGGGGAGGAAGAUGACAGCUGAUGAGCAUUGUAAGGGCACAGAAUCAAAACAUACAAGAACUACUAGGGAUCAGAAUAAGUAAUUUUUUUUUUUUUGUCGUAAUGACACAUCUAGUUUAAUUUAAUAAAUUGUUACUCCUACACCGGAGGAGGAGCCUACUCUAGGGAGUGGUCUAACUGAGUCGAGAGAAUUUGACGGGUAUUGAACCACUAUCAAACCACUGUGACAUGUUUACCAAACAUUACAAAAUUUACAAAAAUACUUGUCAAUAAUAUAUUUCUUUUUUUUUGGGGUAAUAUGUUAAUAUCUCUACAUUUUUGUUUUUUUUUUUUGGGUAAUGUAAAGAACAAAGUUUUUAUUCAGUAAUAGAUGGCCAAAAUGUUUUUACAACAAUUUCAAUAGCUGAGAUUCGUUAUGCUAAACAAUAUAACAAGCAUACAAUCGUACUGCCAAUUUGCAGACCACCACAAAAUCCUAAGGUCAACAUGCAUGUCCAUAUUUAUCUCCAACAAUCAUUUCGACAUUUGCACGCCCAAAUCCUGUCUAGGCCCUUCUCCAGUGUAGAAAUGGAUAUGAUCAAGUUUCAGCCUGAAUCUAUCAGUUUUGCCUGCCACUUGAUUCAAUUCUCAAAUUCUGACAAAAAAGAAGAAGAGAGGAUUCAAUUCUCAAAUUCUUCCUUGCAAUUUUUUUUUUUUCAAGAACAAAAAAAAAUCUGUUCUGGCAACUUGGUUAAGAUGAAUUUUUGUGGCUUGCAAAUGAAGCAUUGAAGUGUGGUAUACCAUCCGAUUAGACAACAAAAAAGUGUUGUACAGGCGGUAAUGUAGGCGCUUGGGUAGUAGUAAGUAGUAAGUUGUAGAGGACGAAGGGAGGAGUUUGGUUGAUGGAAGGCCGAAAGUCACCGAUGCAUGUCGCCGACCAAUCACGGGGCUUCCUAAACGGUCGGUCACCGAGUCAGAGCAAGUGGGUGCUGGGAGUAUGCUAUCUGGUGGGUGGAGUGCACUGUACAGACUGACAACGUCCAAAAACAUCCAUUGCUGACUCAGAUACUGCAUUUCCGAAAGGGAUAUUACUAGCUUUUCUUUUUAAAUGAUUUUCUGACUUUUACGUACCACUUACCAUUCAUCAUCAGGCAUCCGGUGAAUUAGCUGGAGCUUGAAGGGGAAAACUUUUCUUUUAAGUUAAGCUCGGCUCAGGUCCACCGAAUAAGUCGACGACGGGUCCUUCAUUUCACUAUUGCAAUGUGUUCCGAAGAUCACCCGGUUAUUUUAUUUUAACUGACUUUGGAUACUCAUUUUGUCCGUACGAUGUUGUUUUCUAUUGCUUUUAUAUUUUGAUUAUAAAUUUUUUAAUGAUUCAAAAAGUUAAAAUCUGUAAUCACUCAAAGAAUAAAUUUUACUGAUUCUGAUUAUUUUCUACAAUUAGUUUUAUAAUCUUUUUUUUUUUCAGAAACUGAAAUAAACUCACACAAUCCGAGCUGGGCUUGGACCUCGGGCCCAUGGGGAACUAGCCCAGGUCAGGCGGCGGCUAGGGCUCCGAGGUAGUCCCCAAGGGCUACCCCGCAGAGGGCGGGGAGAAUCCCCCUUAGCGCGGGAUUGAGACUAUUCCGGGAAGGUCCCGAAACGUACGGAGGUCGGACUCCCUCAGCAGGUAUAAAUCAUAACGCACACCGACUGCGAAAGGUACGUUUACUAUUGGCAACUCACUCCCGGCUGCUUUCCUGUUAGUAUACCCCCCACUCACCGGAAAACUAACUUGACCGUCGGAGCGUCCUCGGGGACUACCUCGGGGCCCCUGUCAGUUCACUCACCUGUUUAUCUUUCAGGCUUAGGACGCGCUCUUUCCAUCAUCAAUCCGAGCUCAUCAGGUCAGCUCGGUCCGGGGAAGUUAAUUAGACUAAGCACGAGAGUUAACAGUUAAAUCGGCCCAAAAGCAAUACAAGGAGGGAUCCACAAGAAACACACAUCCACCCAAUUGGUGACAAGACGGUUUAGUUUUUAUAAUCAGAUUUUGUAAAAUCUAAAAAAACUGAUAACAAGGCCUUGGGUGGAUGAACAAUAAUGGGUAUUACAGUUAUUAACAGUCAUAACUAUUUAUUUGGUAAAUCAUUUAAUGAGGAUGAAAGUAUUAAGUUUUACCCUCUAUCAUUCUCACCUUAUAAUUUGAGUUUUGAAAUAAAUAAUCUGUUGGGUGCAAGAAACUCAUCCCGAUUCCAAACCAAAUAUGCAAGGAGGUGUGAUAAAAAGCCCUUAGCUAUGCCCAUAGCCAUUAUAAUUCCAAUUGGAGUAUACAAACCACAUACCUUCUUAGAAUUGUUUCUAUUUCUUUACCAUUUUUAGACUUCAUUUUCCUUGUAUUUGAUUUCCACCCCGAUCCCAUUGCUGUGAUAUUUGCAAGGGAGUUCGUUAGGUUUACCAAUAGAUUUGAAAUUCUUCAUCUCAUCCAAACACUGUGGAGGAUUUUUUUGUUUUUAAUGUGUAAUAUGAAAAAUCCAGCCUUAGGGUGAAAUUCUACCAAAUUACUUGUAAGAAGUCAAUACGGUGAGAGUACAUUUCCUUGCUAGAUUCUUUCCCUUUUACCCAAAAGCUCAUUCUCAACAUGUCUUCUCAUUUUAUCAAAAGAACGCGCUAUUGGGAGCACAAAUUUUGCUCUAACAAAUAUAAGUGCCAAUAAUGAAAUAAUGAUUAGUAAAAUGAAGUGUGUCAAAAUUCAGAAAACCAUAAAGUGAAGUUCUCUUUUUCUUUAUUACUUUUUUUCCCUUUCUUCUUUUUCAAUUUUUUUGGGGUAGUAAAACAAUGCGAGGCUAGAUGCAGCAGAUCCAAGUUCUAACGGUUAUUAGGAUAAGGCAAUUAUAGUUUUUGAAACAAUUCCUCUAUCAUGUAAAUCAUUAUAAAUUAAAAUUUUUUCAACAUGUUAAGCAUACACUUCUUAAAAUUUUUAGUCUAUAUAUAUAUUAUUCUGUACCACGAUAUAUAAAUAUAUACAAUAUUAUUUUGAUUUGAAAUAUAAUCCCGUACAUAGCACGGAUCAAAAUACUAGUAGUUUUUGAAUUACAAGUAGUGCUCUCAAUAGGCCCGAACGGGCCAAGCUAUGAAAGAAAAUGAGCCGAUCAUACUGUAAUUCUAGGUCGGGCAGAGAUUGGAUCUAGAUUUGAGGUUCAAUUAACAAAUGAGUGAGUUUAGGCCUCUAUAGGUUCAGCCCAAUUAAAGCUCGACUCGUUAUUAUAUGUAUUAUUUAUAUUUUUAUACGUAUGUGUAUAUAUAUACACACACAUACACACUUACCUAAUGUAUGUAGUUAUAAAUGUAUUAUUUUUAAAUGUGUAAUGUAUACUUAGAUUACUAGUAAUUAGUAUUAGUUUUGAAGAGACUUAGAUUCAUUAAAUAAAUAUAUUUAAAGAGAAAAGCCUAUUGGUAGUCUAUUGACUAAUGAUUAUUACUAUUAAUAUGUUUUUCCAUGUAUUUUAAAAGAAUUAGACAAAAUUAUUUUUGGAAAACUUUUGGUUUAUGUACUUUUAAUCAAACUUUUACUAAUGUACGUGCAAUUUUAAUAUUGUAGAUUGCAAAAUGACUUUACUACUUACUGGUUAUAUUAAUUAUAUUAAAAAAUUAGAGAUUAAUAAAUGAGUUUGGACUAAUCCGCAUUAAACUCAAUGCCCGUAUAUAUUGUGAGUCAAGUAUGAACUUCAUAUAUAUUAGCUCGAAACUCGAAUGUUUUACUAACUAGGUGAGCCAAAUGCUUGUAUUGUACACGUAAUUUCAGAUGUCCCGACGGACAUUUUAAGUAUAAGGCAACCCAUAAAUGCUUGUAUUGUACACGUAAUUUCUCUCCCUCAUCACUAAUCACCCUAGAAAUUAAGCAAGCAUGUGAAAUUCAAGCCAAGAAUGGAUCCUUAAUAAAUGAGUCUUCCUCCUUCCGUCCUUCAUACGAAUGCUAUGACCCUCAUCCUUAAAUCUGUUUCUUGAUUCACAUUCUAAUUUCCAUACUCCACAAUCAUGAUCCUUAUCCUUUUGACCGUGACAAACAAAAGGAAAUCAUAUAUAUAUAUGCCUACCUUUUUCGCUCCAUGGCUUGGCUAAUAUCAACCAUGGAGCCGAUAUAGCAGCCGCAUUAUCUUUCACGGGAGUUAGGAGAUCAGUAUAAACGGAAAAAAAAAUGAGCAUGAACUCCACUUGUCUGUAUAGUUCAAACAAAACUUACCUCAAUUUUCUCUCCAUAUGUAGAGCGAAUGUUGUGUUGUGUAUAGGUAGGUAUAACAAACACCCGAUACCAUCAUUCGGUGAUACACUAAAACCACACUUUAUCCUCGUCUUCACAGUACACAUUGAAAAAGACGCUUCCGAACAAGAAAUUCACGUAGAAAUCGUACGCAACUCAUAAAUGGUAAAGGAAAAAUCUUUCACGGAUUUAAAAGAGAGAGGAGGGAUCUACUUCUACUUCUACAUCUGCUGUUGAAAGCAAGCAGCAAGAGGCGUACAGAGUCUACAUUCGAGGGACCCAAAGAAAGCCCGUCUUACUCUUCUUAUCCGUCACGGGUUGCUAGAAAACAACAUGUGUGUUUUAAACUCUCAAUAAAAAAAGGGAAAAGGAAAAAGAAAAAGACCUCUGUUUUGGCUAUAAAAGAAACCAACCCCAGAUUGUAAUUUGUAACGCAAACGCGGAUUCCCAAUCUCUCUUGUUUAAGAAAGAGAGGGGGUCGGUCAAGUCAGGUCAGGUCACACAAAAGCAAUGGCCUCUCAGUAUGCAAAACACUCUGUUUUGCUCUGCUUCCGCAUUGUUUUCAGCUGCUUCUUUUUGUCCCAAAUUUUCUUGUUCAAUGCAAGAUUGGCUUCUGCUCAGACUCCAGCUUACGCCUGUGCAUCGGGGAAUUAUACGUUCUGCGAUACGUCGCUGGACGUGAAAACCAGGGUGGAUGAUCUAGUCAAGAUGCUGACAUUGCAGGAGAAGGUUGCAAACUUGGUGGAUGGUGCUGCAGGGGUGAGCAGGCUCGGAAUACCGAAAUAUGAAUGGUGGUCCGAGAUUUUACACGGAGUUUCUAACACUGGUCCGGGAGUUCAUUUUACUAGUUUGGUGCCCGGUGCCACCAGCUUCCCUCAAGUUAUACUAACUGCAGCUUCUUUCAAUAAAUCCCUUUUCGAAAUCAUUGGGAAGGUAAUAAUAAUUAUCUCUCAUUCACAUCGCAUCCCUCCUUGGCCUAACGUCAUUGGUUCAUAUUGAAAUGCCGGUAAUCAUCUUCACAUUCCUCGAAAACGUUCAUUCUUUUCUGUGCUUUCUUCAAUCAAGAUUGUUACUUAUUUUUGGUGCCUAUGUAUUUGUGAGCGGUUGCAUUCAUGGUUCUAGUUUGCAGUUGAUAAUUAUGGAGUCUUUGUGAUAGUGAAUGAUAUUACUCCAUAAGGUUUGGUAUGGUACGCAUAUAGAUUGUUUCUACAAGCAAGCAUUAAUGGCUCGGUCAGGAGAAAAUCAAAUAUCCUCCAGCGCCUUCAGUCGCUGAUUAUACUGUACCAUUCUCUGGAAAAAGGGCAUUCACCUGAAAACGUGUGCCACUCACAAAGGACUCAGAGAAUGAAGGGUGUACACACAUGAUAGCCGGAGGGAUAUGUUUGAAAAGGACGCACUUUUGUUUCAAAAUCAUGAUAGAACAGCAGCAGGAGUCAAUUGUGAAAUUUCACGCACGUCACCAUCAUUUUAUUUAUUCUAAUAAAGUUUUUUUUUAUUUAAAGCACCGGUAAUGCUGUUUUACAGAUGCCAGCCAUGAUGCCCACUUUUUCUGAGGGAUAAAACGCGGAGAUGUCGUCUUAGGGACGCAAGACACUACAACUAGGAAUUGAUGUGAAAGGAAAAGGGUUAUUUAUUAACAGCACCAUUGACGAAUUUCAGUUCUUUCUUUGAUUUCAAUGGACAGGUAGUCAGGUAGACUUGUUCUAGGAAAAAAUAGACUGCUGUCUGUGUUGUUCGAUUUGUCUAGUAAAACUUAGUGUUAGGUAAUAUGGCCUUGUCAAUUUGCUCGCCACGGCACGAGGGCUGAAGUCUUUCAGCUUGCAAAAUCUUUUCAUCAAGUCUUUCUGAUUAUAUGUCAUUGCCCUUCUAGUUGGUCUGUGUUUAUCUACUACCAACUGUGAUGACUUGAACGCUCAUCAUAGCUUUUUGAAUGAAGAAAAUGAUUCAUGAUGCUGACAUUACCAGAAGCAACUUGUCGCAGGCUUGUCUGGUGUAACUUGAUGCCAAAAAUUUAACGUCGGAUAGAUAACUUUUUUUGGAAAAAAAGAAAAGUAAAAUAUAACUGAAAUUUGUUGUACGUGAACAGGUGGUCUCCACGGAAGGCAGAGCAAUGUACAAUGUAGGAUUAGCAGGGUUGACGUAUUGGUCGCCGAAUGUGAAUAUAUUUCGCGACCCCAGAUGGGGAAGAGGGCAGGAAACACCAGGGGAAGAUCCCACGCUCACUAGCAAUUACGCAGCAGCUUUUGUUAGAGGUCUACAGCAGCGAGAUGACGGUGAUAAAGACAGGCUCAAGGUUGCUUCUUGCUGCAAACACUAUACUGCCUAUGAUUUGGAUAAUUGGAAAGGAAUUCAAAGAUACACCUUUAAUGCCUUGGUAAUCUUGGAUCUAUGUACUGUUAAUAAAUUAAUUUCACUGCUGGACGAACGAAAUUUUUUUUUUUUUUUUUUUUUAACUUCUGUUUUCGGGGUGGAUUUAGGUUACACAACAAGAUUUGGACGAUACAUUUCAACCUCCAUUCAAGAGCUGUGUUCUUGAUGGAAAUGUUGCUAGUGUCAUGUGUUCGUAUAACCAAGUAAAUGGCAAGCCAACCUGCGGUGAUCCAGACCUCCUCUCAGGCAUAGUUCGUGGAAAGUGGAACUUGAAUGGGUAUGAUUUAUUCUGCAAUAAUUUGCCAAAAUCUCUUAUUACUCCAAACAAACAAACAAACAAAAAAAAAAAAGAAAAGGGAUUAUCAAAUAAUAUUAAUAAUGUUUGCAGAAAUAUGCAUGAUUGCUUUUAAUUUGUUGCUGCAGGUACAUAGUUACUGACUGUGACUCUUUAGAUGUGAUUUUCAACAACCAACACUACACCAAAACACCAGAAGAGACCGUAGCUCUGACUUUAAAUGCAGGUAAUCAUGUGAAUGAUUAGGUAAAUCUUAAUCGUAUGGUGGCUAGUUAGGAUGGUCGAACUAAAACCGAAGCACUUUACGUACUUUUCACCCCUAAAAAAGAAACAAUAAUGGACCACAUGGUGUCUUUAUACUUGUUUUUCUAAUCAUUAUUAAACCCCAACUAACGAUUAUUAAAGGUUUAUCCUACUGUCUUGCUUCUUUUUUGUCAAAAAGGAUCCCAAUAUGGUAAAUGCUUUUCCUUUUUCUUUUUGUUUCAAACUAGAUUGCUUUUGUAGUAGUAUUUGAUAUUUCUUCCUUUUUUGCUUUCAAAAAAAAAAGAAGAAGAAGAAAAGCUAAAGUUAGAAUAGUUUUAAGAAGUUGUCUGACUCUUACUACUGUGUUUCUGGAGAUUACAAGCUUCUUGCUCGUAUUAUCACUCGAGAAAAUCAAAUUUAGAUGGCUGAUUUAGUUAAUUGUACAAUUUUCAUCCAAAUAAUCAGGGGUGGAUCUUAACUGUGGAUCAUUCCUGGCCAAAAACGGUGAAUCUGCUGUAAACAAGGGACUGGUGAAUGAAUCAGUGAUUGACAGAGCUCUCACGAACAAUUUUGCCACCUUAAUGAGACUUGGGUUCUUUGAUGGUGACCCCAAAAAACAACUCUAUGGAAAUCUAGGACCAAAAGAUGUGUGCACCCCGGAAAACCAGGAGCUUGCCCGUGAGGCUGCUAGGCAAGGAAUUGUGUUGCUCAAGAACACUGCAGGAUCACUGCCUCUAUCCCCUGCUGUCAUUAAAUCCUUAGCUGUUAUUGGACCAAAUGCUCAAGCAACUCACACCAUGCUUGGCAAUUAUGAAGGUACUUCAAAUCUAUCAAAGAUGAUACUACUAUAAUGUUUUUGGCAUUUAUGCUGCUAAUGUGCCACAGAUUUGCUUGAUCAGUUCAUCCUCUGUAAUUUGAGUCUCUGAACGGUGAAAUACAUGUCCAAUGCCUUGCUGCUUUAUUGAUGGCUCUAAGCUAGUAUUUGAGGUUAUGCAUAUUAUGAUCAAACGUCGUAAUUCUUGAAGUAUCUUCCUGAACCAUCUAAGAAAUUUGCAGGCGUUCCGUGUAAAUAUGUGACGCCAUUACAGGGUCUAUCAGCCUCAGUCUCAACGGUAUUCCAGGCAGGAUGUUCCGAUGUGUCCUGUGCCACUGCUCAAGUGGACGAAGCCAAGAAAAUUGCAGCAGCAGCUGAUGCGGUGGUUCUGGUAAUGGGCUCUGAUCAAUCAAUCGAGACGGAGGGCCGAGACAGAGUAAACAUCACUCUUCCAGGACAACAGUCGUUGCUAAUUUCAGAGGUUGCAAGUGUCUCCAAGGGACCUGUGAUCCUGGUUAUAAUGUCGGUGGAGGCUGGGAUGUACAAUUUGCAAAAGAUAGCCCCAAAAUUACCAGCAUUCUCUGGGUUGGUUUCCCCGGGGAAGCAGGUGGAGCUGCAAUAGCCGAUGUCAUAUUUGGCCUACAUAAUCCUAGUAAGUUUUCCAGCAAUUUGACCGAAUUUUCACUAGUUCAUCCACCUUAUUAAAAAAUUUUACAGCUGAAAUGAGAAUUUCUGGUUUAGUAUUUGAUCAAUGAAAGCCAACAACCUAAUGUGCAACUCCUCCUUUAGCAAGUGAAUCGUACUAACAUAGUCCUGCUGCUAGGUGGAAGGCUACCAAUGACAUGGUAUCCCCAAUCAUAUGUUGACAAGGUCAGCAUGACAGAUAUGCACAUGAGACCAGACCCUGCCACAGGCUACCCUGGAAGAACAUAUCGAUUUUACAAGGGACAAACUGUUUAUUCAUUUGGAGAUGGAUUGGGCUACUCCACAUUUACGCACAGCCUAGUUCAGGCACCCAAGGUCGUCUCAGUUCCCCUGGAAGAGGGACAUGUUUGUCGUUCGUCGUCGUCGACAUGCAAGUCCAUUGAUGCG